ACAAAGCAAAGGCAGCACUCUUGAGUCAAGACCGGUCCUCUCUUCUCCACUCUCCUUCUCCUUCUCUCCAUCCGUGUCAGUGGAGGCUGUUACGGCUCAAUCAGACUCACAAAGACGCUCUGGAGCUCCUUUUCUUUGUCUGCUGUCACCCUCGCUCAAAAGUAAGUCACCUUUCUUUUUCCCUCUCCCUGCUUCCUCUUUACUGAGUUUGCAUUUUCUUGUCCGAUAAAACUAAAGAGGUGAGAAUGGGAUGUCACUCUCCUCGUCCCCCUCCUCUCUCUCUCUCUCUCUCUCUCUAUCCCUCUGUCUUUUUUUCCCCCUCCCUGUCCUCUUUACUCUUCACUCUCUGUUUGCUAUCUGGUAUGACUAGCUCGUGCGCAGACUGAUGAACAAGCGAUCUAUAUUCUGUGGAGAUUACAGGAGCUUUGUCAAAGUGAAGGCAAGGAGAGAGUCAUGAGAAAUGUAAACAGAAAGACAUUGAUUGGCAUUCUGAACUCUGGUUCGGAUUAUAGUCUUAUCAAUUUGUCUGUGAUUCCUUGUGUGUUAGUCAGAUAUCAGUUUGUCUGCCUGUAAGAUGACUUACUUUCACAGACUACAUUUAAGUUUUUGGCGUCUCCCGCAGCAGCAAGCUGAACAUAAGAUAAUGUUUGUCCCCCUUAAAAAUUCAUGUACAGCUACAUAUUUAGGCAUUUACAUAUACUGGACAAGCACUGCAGCCAUUGUUGCAGACACUUGUGUAUUUUCCUUUGGUUAUUUUAAGGCUUUUGUUUCACUUGCUUAACGUCCCACUGGCCACAAGGACAACCUAAUCAGGCUGCAAUCAGCAGUGCCGCAGGAGUACAGUUCUUGCAUCUCGUUCCUUACUUCAUUGACUUAUGGUUGGGAAGGCUGGCAGCCUAUCAAUGCAGAGUAAUUACAAUAGGCCAGUGUGAGGUUGAAUAAUUGAUGUGCAUUUCGGAGCUGAUGUAUGCUGAAAAACCUAUCUGCUGAGAGUCCCGUCAGUAGUUUAUCACAGGGCGAGAGAGGGGAAAGUGCAGCCUGACUGCCAAUGCUUAGUGCUGUAAUAAUGAUGCCAGUCUGGGCCUGUCAGCACCGGGAACACUGGGAGUUAGCCCCCAUGCUGGUUGCAGCUCAGCUAUCAGCUUCAGUCUUUCCCCCGGAUCGAUACCUGCAAGAGGAAUGGUUUCAAUGUAAGACACUCCCAAACUCUGCGACUGUAGAUCAGCCUCCUGUUAGCAGAGUUAGACGUACAUGAGGACCGUUGUUACUCCUCUCUAUAGAUAAGUGACAAAGGGAAGCAGAUUUUGAGUGUGACACAGUGUUCAAACAAAAAGGUAGGAAGGGUACUUUUAACAAGGAAGUGAACAAAAAAAAGGUGCUGUGUCAGUGAGGGCAUUUCAGGUGCCAGUGAGACACUGAAAUACAGGAAGUUUGGUUUGAGUUAUGGAUCCCUGAGUCUGAAGGUUUUCCACUUGCUGAGAAACUUCACAGUGGUUUGUCAUACCAUGAGACAGGAUUUUACAACUCUGUCGAGCCACCAAGGCACCCAUCAUUUCACCCUCUGUCUCAACUAUCGCGAGGGAAUAUAUUAGAUCAGCUGAACAUGGCCGGUAAAUCUGAGCCCUGUUCAUGUCCUUUCUUCUGGACCAACCUGGUUUUUUCUUGUUGAAGCUCCUUUCUUCUGUGCAAACAUAGUGGUUUGUUUUAAACGAAUGGCCUGGCUUCUUCUACAAGUUUACAGAUCUAUCACAUAUCCCUGAUGUUUUUUAGCCAUGCAAACAUAAGGGAAUAAACGUUUUUCGUGGGUCUUGGAUGAGGACUGAAAAAAGCUGUGACAAAAAGUCUGCAUCUUCAGUUUAAAGGAUGUGUGUUAUCUAUAAAGCACUGUGCUUGCAGCAGUCUAAAAGUUUAUUCACAUCCCAACAGGGUGGGUGGUGGAAAUGGAUUUUAAUGAAGGUCAUCACCUGCGAUUAAACAGCAGUUUUAAGAAAUUUGGGUUGUUAUUAUUUAAUUAAAGACAUAAUUGUGAGCCCUGAGGCAAGAUCAGCUGAGGAUCACUGCCUCUGAAUACCUUAUUCAGACUUCACAAGGAUCACAGAGCUUGCAGACAGCAUUAUCGGGUUUUCACGAGUCUAGAUCCAUGAAAUUGUUAUGUUGUUACAGUAAUCUGCAAUCUGACUGCAGUGGUUAGGUCCGCUUUUGCUUCACAGCAAGAAGGCUGCUGGUUUGACUCCCAGCUGAGGCCUUCUCAGUGUGGGGUUAAAAUGCUUCUCCAGUACAUGCAUGGAUCUGCAGCUUCCUCCCACAGUUCAAAGACAAGCUCCUCAGGUUAACUAGUCUCUUUGUAUUACCUGUCAGUGUGAGUGUGAGCGUGUCAGGUUGUAACCUGGUAACCUAUCCAAGGUGGAGGUCUCUCUCCCCUUGACAGCUGUAAUAGGCUCCAGAUACCAAGGAGCCAUGAUCUGUAAACUCUAAGACAGUCCUCCAUUAAAAGCAGACAUGACUCUGUAGUGGAAAUCACUGCAAAACUAUUGCGUACACUGAUUAAAACUGCGUCAUGCAAAGAGGAAACCAGAAAUACUUCUUCCUGAGGUGAAGUGGUAUGAUCUUCAAGAUCAAAAUCUGUCCUCUGCUGUGUAGAGGAGAGAGAGAGAGAGAGAGAGAGAGAGAGAGACCACCCAGUUUGUUAUCACGGUACAUUUCAGAAGCCAGCAUCCGUGUUGGGACUGGUAUGCAUAAGAGCUCAUGACACGAGUAACUUAGACUACUUGGAGGGCUCUAUUACUGCUUAAUGAUACGUACAAUUUUUUGAGCAACAUAUGCUACCAUUCAGAGAAUCUUUUUGUUGAGGUGAGACUUUGCCUCUUUUAAUAAAACAGUACCAAACUGAAGUAUCAUGAAACCAAAGAAUAAUCAAGCUGUUAGAAUACAAUGUCAGACAAGAAUGGGACAUCAUUCACUUUCACAUCUUCAGAAUCUGGUCUCCUGGGUCCCCAAGGGUACAGUCUGUUUUUACAAGAAGAGCUGAUGCAACACAAUGGUUAAUAUUCUUCAGUCCCCACUUCUUUGAAACAUGUUGUUGGCAUCUGUGUUUAUUUUUUACAAAACAUUUUUUAGUUGAAAUCAAAUGAAAACCAUCACAUCAUCACAUUUUGUUUUUAUUGUCAUUUUACAAAGCCCCUGGAGCAGGGGUUGUAUUUAAAAGAUCAGUAAAAAUAUUCAGAGAGUGUCUUAGUACAAAAUGCCAGUUUGGAGUGUCUCCCGUUCUUGACUCUCAACAGGAAUAUCCUCAAAUAUUUUUUUUCACCAAAGAUCUUGUGUGUAAUCAAGCUGAUAUUAAUCAAAUCUGUUGUGGUAAUUUUAGGGGCUUUUCUCAGUGACUCUUGAGAGAAAUGGAAUGAAAUGUGAGCAUGUUUCUAAGGGUCAUGAAGUCCAGCUCUGAUUCUGAGCAACGGUAAUCCUUCUUAAGAUGAAUUUCUUCCCCUCAGACUGAUUCAGAUGAUGAGCUUUGUAGAUUCUUUUGCCCGUAAAGAAAUCGCAUAAUGUUCCUUUGGGUAGUCAGGCAUGCAGACAAGAAAUAAUAAUCAUGUAUAUAUGUGACCUGACUGCUGAAACAGGACGUUUGUUAAGUGUAGUGGUAUACUACAGAUAGAGUCUUGUUGGAAUGUUCUCCUAGAUUUAAUGUACACUUAAAGACUGUAAUGUAUUUUAUAUCACUGUGUGCCAGACAGGGUCACAAACAGAGGUUUUGCCUCUGUCUACCACGAUUUCUUCUCCUCUCCGCUGAGGCGAAUAAUCUCUCUCUUUUACUCAGUUGCCAAGGCUUGGCUCGGCUCAGGCUCUCGGUCAGUCUGCCGCUCUCUAUGUCUCUCUUUCCUUCUCUUACUCUAUCUCACUGCAAUGCCCACAAGCCCCAGAGCCAAACUCCACCCAGACUCACUCACACUGCAUCCAUUAUGUAUAGGCCAAAAAUUGAAGAAUAACAGGCUUAAGGCGAAGAAGUACAACAUAAAUAAAGUACAACAAAUUAAGAAGAAAGGGAGACGCACUGUUUAAAUCUAUAUUUGGUAUGCUGUCUAGAUGUGUAUCUCUUUUCGGCAUCUUUAAAACCGAUAAAUUAACCAGUAUUAUAUGAUGGAAAAUUAUGCCUUUACGAGUGCAAGUAUAAUGUAGACAAAGUUGUAAAAAGUUACAAAGUUACUCAUAAAAUAUUAAAGAGAUUGAAAUAUUUUAUGAUUAACUUAAAGGGACAAACAAAAGAGCUAAUAAAUACACUAGAAUGUCAUCAGCAUACCGGGAUAAGGUGGCAUGUUGGCAUCCUGGCAAACCAAUUAUCUUGGUCAUAUUCUUUUAAGCACCACAUAAGCCUGCAGAGAUUCAGUUGCACACACACACACACACACACACACACACAUAUAUAUAUAGCUGCAGCCACUGCAAUGCAAUAAUAAUUUAAAAGACUAGUGAUACCUCUGGAGGCCAUCUGGACAGAAAAAAAGUGAACAAGAAACACUAAUAAAACAGAGACAUAACAUUUUUAUUAAGGCUGUAACUAAAUGAAGAAACAUUUUUAAUGCAAAAGACCUACUGUAUAUGUUUAAGUAGCUUACUAUAGCAAAGGUUUAAAUAUGUCUCCAUCUGUUUCUAUGCUUUUUAUGCUCAUGAACAAUGAUUAAGAAAAAUACCUGUUGUCUGGAGUUGCUGUGAUAAAAAGUGAAAACAGUUUGCCUGAUGUUUUGUGUAUGCUCUCUCUUUUCACUGGAACCAUAUGGAGUAGUCCUAUAGACUCUCGUUUUUCAAAAACUGUAUUAAUUUCCUGGAUGCCUCUGCCCGGACCAGCUUCCCUUCUAGGAUCACUGUCGUGCCACUUCACAUUUGGCUUUCAUUUUACGCACGGAGAGCCCACAACCACAUGGUCCAUCCUCCCGCUACUAGAGCUGAAGCUUAAACAGACUACACCAGACACAGAGCCAGAAAGUGUCCUCUUUUGGCGAGAAAAGGAAGGCUGUGCAUAUUCAUACAAACAGGAAAUUUGAAUUAAUUUACAAUGCAAAUUAAAAACAGGCACAACUUUGUACGGACAGAAAUGUAAUAUAUUUCAGGGUUCUGCUGAUUAUCGUCCAUGGCUUCAUAGCGAGCUGAAGAGCCUGAAAUCUUUUGCUGUAACAACACAGUCUCUUUCAACAAGCCGCGAUCAUUCCUCUCUGUACAAAGGAAACCGAUUUUGUAUCUCCUCCCCUUCUCAUCAACACAAAGAUGAGGUUAGGAGGUCUCUGCUGCUCCAUCUUUCAUCUGAUAAAAAAAUACCAACUACAAGGUUUUCCUUUCUUCAAGGGUAUAAUAUCCUCUUUAUAUAUUUUUUGAUACUUUCUUUCGUGAGUCUGCUCUGUUAUACUCAUGUCCCUCAUUUAAAGAAGGUCUGGUGUGUUUUGUUUGUUUAUGUGGCAUUAAGAGGGCAGUUGUGUAAGAAUACUGACUGAUAUUUUCAGACACUGUAAGAUAAGUGUAGUGCAGUAGCACAAAGUCCAAAUAAUUAGCUUUUUCUAGUAGAGUUUGAUCAGCAUCAUGUCAAAUUUUAGAGACCUCACAGAGGUUAGUGGAUGUCCCGGUGCAUAUCACAAAAAGUCACAGCAUGAUGGACCAGAAACAUCCCGUAAAUAAACUGAUGGUGAGAGGACAAAAGAAGCAGGUGAAUGAUAAUCAUUUACAAUGUUGAAACAGAUGCAGAGCAGCAAGAACAGCUGAUGAACAAAAGUUAACGUGUUUAGGAUCAUUUAAAAAAUGAAACCAGUAACUUCUGCUGUCCGGUUUUCAUUGGUGUUGUCACUUUUAAGACUUUACUACAGGAGCACAGCACUGUGAAAGCUGACUGUAUCUAUGAAGUUACAACAACAACUCAGCUUCAUAACUUCAUAACUCAGCUUCAUAAGAGACAGCUCCUGCACUGGAACGACUCCCUGAAAAUGGGGAUCAUUCGCCAGAGCUGUGUUCAGUCCAUCUCUGCUCUGUCACAGCCUCAGAGCUCAAAGCUCUCAUUCAGGUCAAAGGGUGUGCUCAGGGAAGUUUCAGUUAGACCCUGAAACAACAGGCUCCAGAUUCAAUUUUCUUCAACAAAACUGACCUAACUUCAAAAUGAUCAGAACCAGGUCUGUUUCCAGAAGCUGUUGAUAAUAAUAAUAAUAAUACAUUUUAUUUAAAAGCGCCUUUCUGGACACCCAAGGACACUGUACAGGCAUUAAGAACACAGUUAAAACACGGUUAAAAUAAAUAAAAACAAUAUACAUGUAUGGAAAUGGACAGUUAAAGGGAAUAUGCAAUUUGGAACAGAUGUGUUUUGAGUUUUGAUUUGAAGUGGGGUAGUGAGUCCAUGUUUCUGAGAUCCGGGGGGAGAGAGUUCCAGAGUUUGGGAGCAGAGCGACCAAAUGGAUGGGGGGAAGCUCAUCAUGGAGUUAGAAAACCACUGAUUCUGUGUUUAAUGGAGGACAUUCUUAACCUGAAUCAUUGUAAAGAACUAGAAUUUGGUGUGCUGGGGCUGUUUACCUGAGAGGGAUGACAGGAUGAAUCGCAGACAACUUGAGCAGGAGUUUACAGCCUUUGUCGACACGAAGUGAUCCAUGGAUCUCUAUGGACGUAAUGUUUGGUUAAAGGAGUUUCUUGGACUUGGAUCACAAGGACCGUCAGAAACAGAUUUCAACAUCUCUGUUGUUUUUAUUAAUUAAACAGAGUUUUCAAGCGAUCUGUUAAUCCAAGUUAUCGUCUUUGUUAACAGAUUAUCAGUUUUACAGAGUUAAAUGUUGGAUUAACUGUGCUCAUGUCUGCUGAUACCCACCAGUUCAUACUUAAAGUAAAAAGGAUUUGGGAUUAAAAAAAGUCCCCCAAAUUUUAUCUGAGGUCCGGUUAGCUGCACACAAUCAGAUAAUUGAAAUGUCCUUCAGAGGGCUUCUCUUUACUUUGAUACUGAGUACAUUUCAGAGCCGGCAUUAUUCAGUCUAAUUUUAGUAAAGAUGAUGAUUCAGCACUUUUACUUUCGCCAAAGCCCCUCUUUGCUUGAGUGUCUCAACUCCUACUCGAGAAAAGAUUGUUUAAACUUUUGUCGCCGUCGCUAAACAGAAAAAAAUCAAGAGAAAUUUCAGCAGACAGGUAAUGUCACUGAAGCUAAACUGGCUCCUUAGCUCAGCGUUUGUCUGCCCCUGAUACACUGCACCGGAGCAGCAGCAGAGUGGUCUCUGAUAAGGAGCGUCUAACGCUAACCAUGCUGCACCCUGGAACAAACUACAGACAGCUGUAGAGCUCAGACUCUCAGUAAUCGUGUCUGACGGCUCACAGCCACCUACCGUCUUUGUGUUUGAUGCUCUUGGAAAUGUUUAUGUAGACACCACCUCUCUUUGUCUUUACCCAGACAUUUCUGUGUCUCUGAAGAACUCAUUAUACCUGUCAUAAAGGUGUCUGGUCAAAUCCCUGUAUCUCAUUAGAGCUAUCUCUGGUUAGAUAUUAGCUUUUUAUUGCAAGACCCAGGAUGUGUGUGAAAGAGUGGGGGCCUGUAGACAGAGGAACAGUCUGGUAAGGAAGGCCUCCCCCUCACUUCUGAGACGCUUUUAUUGCAUCUUUAUUUCAUUAACAGCAGCUCUGUGCAGUCCAUACGCCUUUCUUUUUCUGUUGCAACAGGGAAAGUUAUACAAAUUUUCUUAAUUAACUUGAAUAGAAAACAGCUCAAGAAGGUAAAAAGUCAAUAUUGCAUGGCGCUGGGGACUGGGGCUUGUUUGAAUUAAUGUCUUUGCAUAUUGUAGCUGUUCAGCAAUAGAUCUCCUUUAAUAGCAACACAUGAUGAAAUAUAGAGGCUGUUUUAGCGCCGCUUUCAAGUCUGCCAGUCUGGCAUUAUAAAGUUUAUUAGAGUAAAUGACAUUAUCAAAAUUUCCCUGUCUUUGCCUUCAGAAUAUAAACACUGUAAACAUUUCCCUACUGUAAAUGACAUGAGAUCAUUUAUGUGACUUAUUACUGUUUGCAAAGUCAUUUCCAGUAUCAGGCAGAUUUUGUUCACUGUAUAGGUUGUUUUUCAUACUUUCACAAACAAUUCCCAUCCCCUGAUCAUUGAUUAUUUGGAUGUGUUUUAAACAUUAAAAAACCCAGGAGCCUCCGAUUUAUGUAGAAAUUUAAAACAUAUAGAAAUGUGUGCUUCUUAAGGGUAAGGAAGACACAGUAUGAAACUGCAUUUCAUACUUUCAUACCAAUUAUUUCUAAUAGUUUAAAUAGAGGAAUUAGGAAUAAAGGGCAAUACACGCCAGGAACAAGAUGAAAACCAUUUUAUGAUCUCUUUUAUUAUGAAUAUUUAUUAUUGCAGGGUUAAGCUGAGUGGUUAUAUUGGGAGGCUGUAGUGCUCACAGCAGGCAGCAUGGUUUCACAUACUAAUGGACCUUUGCCCCAUGUCAGCCCCCACUCUCCUUCCGCAGUUUCCUACCCUGUCCACUGCUCUAUCCAUCAAAUAAAAGCAUAAAAUAGCCCUAAAAUAAUCUAAUAUUUUCAAGAAUGAUAUGUGUGAUUAUUAUAUGCUAUCAAAGUUGACUCUUUGUAGGACAACUGUCAGGUAAAAAGCUCUCUGUGCAUCAAAUGUCAUCAAAUAAGAUUGUGUGAGAUAAACCUGAGCAGUCAUGGCCAAUAAGAUUUGUGGUUUCCUUUAUUCAACUGCUAAAAAAAGAAAAAUUGCAGACACAAAAAUCAAAUCUACAUUUCCAGGCAGACUUUCACUGUAAUGUUGUGGUAUGCUAAAAAUAAGUCAGUUUCAGACAGCCUAAUAGCGUAAUGUAAUGUAUGGAGCACUGGAGGCAGGACAGGAAAUCCAAUCUGUGUUUAUGUUUAAAAGCCUCUCAGUGUGUGUGUGUGUGUGUGUGUGUGUGUGUGUGUGUGUGUGUGUGUGUGUGUGUGUGUGUGUGUGUGUGUGUGUGUGUGUGUGUGUGUGUGUGUGUGUACUGUAUGUACGAGGUAGCAGCACUGGCUGAUAAGCUGACCAACUGAGAGCAGGAGACACCAGCAGCCCUGAGACUGAGGGACUGUCAGAGGGAAAAGUCAGAGUGACUCUGCUGAAGGCUGAGGCCUCAGGAGCAGCUCUGCAUCUUAUCUCUGCUUCCUCUCAGCAGACCUUCAGCUCUGACCUAGAUGCAGGUCAUUUAGGACCCCUCUAACCUCUCCAAACAUGCAGUUUUUUACCAGUGACUUAAGACGGAGUUUUGUGUCGCCUCCUUUCGUGAGAAUCUAUUUUCUUGUUGUUUUCAACUCAGUCACCUCAGUGUCAGUAUGUUAAUGAGUUUGAACCACUGCCUUUGUAGAGAUUGUUGGUGAAGUUGUUGGUCCUUCCGUGUUAACAGGGACACAAUCACAUGGCUCAUGAGGCAUUUACCACCUCCAGAUGUGGUUUGACCAAUCAGAUCUCAGUAGCCACAGUGUAACGUUUACAAAAGGAUGACAGAUGAAGCAAUAAAGACUGACGCUGUGAUGAGGUUUUUAUAUUAAGUCCAUAUGCCGUGGAAACAGAAAGAUGGGCUUUGAAACUGACUCUCCUUCUUUUCCCCUGUCUCCUUUGACAUGUUGCUCCCUCGCUGGUGGUGUCAUUUCUGGAUUUUUCCCUCCAUGUUCUCACACCAGCUCUCCUGACUUCAUUUGGAAAUUUUACAAGGGGUGAGGCAGGAAAAAUUCAGGGUUAAAUUUAAUCUGGAUGUAUUCACACAUGCUGCCCACCCUGGCUGCUGGUUGUAAACAGGGUCUGUGAUUAUAAUAUCAGGGCCGUAAGAUGACUAAGAAACCUGUGAGAGUGAAAUUAGGCUUCAUCAUCGUUCUUAAAGGGCACUUCAGCUGAGGAGAUGUUUGAUUGGAUCCAGCACCAUCCUCCUGCCCUGAAACCGCCACUAAAGGACCCCUGAGCUGUGUGUUUGCCUGCAUGUGUAUGUUUUUCUAUACACACACAUACAUGUGAGCCUGUACUACUGCAGAGAGGACUGGAUUUGUGCUGUUUAUUCAAUAUGGCUCAGAAUACCAUCGCUUUAAGCCACCUGGGUAAACAGGUUAUUGCCAUAUCAAUCAUUUACAGCGACAUGCAGUGGUCGAGACCACAGACAAUAUUGACCACCUGACUGACAGAGAUUAAUGUUGCUGCUCAUAAACAGGCCGAUUCACCAGCUCCUCCUCUCUCCAGACUCCAUCUAUUUCUCCUCUUCUCCGUUAGCUCGGUCAUCAGUUUUCUUCUCCAUUCUUUCAAUCAUCUUUUUUUCUCUUCCUUCCCCCUUCAGUUUUAUUAUUUUUCUUAUCUAUUUCUGUUAUUCUUGAACCAAGAACAAGGACAACUCUCUUUAUGUGGGUUAUGACUUCAGUCUGACCCCUAAAGCCGCAGAGAGUUGGAGUAUAUUAAGAAUGAACAUAAUCGUUCAUAAUUAUUUCCAGGUGAAACCAGCUCAUUAAGGCGAAUCUCCAACUUUUGAUUGAGGGUUAAACGGCAUAGUCAGGUGUUUUUAUCAUUCAAAAUGAACUCUGCAAAGGUUUAGCCAAUGUCAUUCUUCAUUAAUCUGGAGAAAAUGGUGCAUUGCUCUGGAUUAAAUGUACACAACAAGACAUUAAACAAGAACACGAAGCAAAACAUUAAAUUUAGAUCAGACUUUUCAUCCUUUUUGAGGUCAAUAACUCUGUUUUGCAUUAGCAAGCUUUGGUGGGAGAUACCAUAAAUCAGAGAUAAAUGCAAAUGUGUGAUUUAGCAAAAGAGCUGACAUGGUUUUCAUGUAAAAAUUAGGCCACAUGAUCUUGUAAGAAAACUGUUUACUAGACUGGCAGACUCUAUUGUGAGAUUAGAUGAUGGACCGCUGCAUGACAACAAUGCACCUGCUGGAAUCUGAUCAAAACAAAAGAGCUUUUCUGUCUUUUGAAGGUCUGAAGAUAACUCCAGCAUUACUUGUAAUGUUGAAUCUUCUGUGAAUGUUAACAGCCCCUCAGCUCUGUAGCAAUUCAGGGCAACAGCAGGGCAGACUGUUAACUUCAAAAGACUAUCAAAAUACAUUGUAAUUUAUUCACAAGGUUUUUACUUGGAGCAGAAUUAUCCAAAGAGAGCUCCUCCAAACUAAAAAUGGACCAGAUGGUGAAAACACUGGAUGAAGCUGUUUCACAUUGGAGACAGGGGUGUGUACAGAUUGGUGGCACCAGGGGUGGCAUGGGCCCCCCUGAAAACAUGGCCACCCCAAAAUCCUACUCCAGAUAUUUUGAUAUUUUUUAAGUAUUUUUGGCUUUUAUCUCUUUUCUUUUUUCUUUUCUUUUUUUUUGUUUUUGGAAAAUCAAACUGUGCUUCCACAUUGUUAUGUUUCUUUUCAAAGUUGAAUCUGAACAUGGACUUGGAAAGGCACAGUCAGAUGGUCAGACUCAUUGUUAUCUGGAGAUUAAAAAAGAGAAAGUUCAUUUAUAUUUCAUGCUCCUCGGUGAUGCAGCACGGGUCACCUGAAGCCCUGCAGCUCUGGUCAUCUUCAUCUGUCCUUGCUCGGUGUAUUAAGUCCCUGAAGCUGUGGCUACAUUUGAUUCAAACCUCUGCAACGUACAUCGAAUGAAAUAAAGCUUGGAAAGUGUUAUUUCAGAGGGAUGUGUUCAUUUCCUCCAUUUAUAAAAGCCCCAGCAGGAAGUAGUUUAAUAUAGUCCACAUUAUUGAAGUUAUUCACUCAAUUCUGCGGAUCUCAUUUCGAUACUGGCAGGCAGUGGGCUUCACGCUGAUGACAAAGCCAUCUAUUAGUUUCACACAUAGGGGGAGGAAGUGUUAACAGUCCAGCAGUGAAAGUCUUGUAUAGUUCGUGAGAUUUCUAAAGAAAUCUCCCUGCCAGAUACAUGAGAAUUAAGCCUAGAACCUGUAGUUCUGACUGUAUCCAUUAGUUUCCUCCAUUUACAAGAGCAACUGUAGUUUAUUUUAGUCUUUAACACCCAUGGAAAUCCAGCGAAGAGAGGCAAAGGUGAGGAGGAGUAGUCUGGAAGGCACUGGGAAAAUACUGUCUGAUUUGUUCAAAUUGACCAGAGAGAAUAAUAAUUUAUUUCAAACGCCUAGCAUGUGCUUUAAAAAGUCAUUCAUGAAGCUACAGAGUUUAAGAAAGCCAAAGUCGUGUCAUUUAAACCCCUCCCAUUAGCUCAGUGAUUGGGCCGGCUUCCAGCUGCCCAGCUCAAUUAUUACUUGAUGGCUGUCGUCCAGACUAAAAUUUCCAAGGCUGACUUUCAGGGGAUGAACGAUAUCCAUAUUUUAGAGCGACUUCAUUGAAACUCUCACCAUUUCCAUGAGCCUUUCAAAUGCAAAAAAGCUCAUAUUUUACAUACUGUGUCUUCAUGACAGUCACAGAAUUACACUCAAUUUUCAUUUUAAUUAAAGUUGGUUCCAUGUAAUUUGUUUUACACACAGCUGUGCUUCAUGCCAGCCUACGAUGUUCCCUACUUCACGAGUGAUUCAACGCUGAAUAUUUUCCAGUGAGUGACUGUAUGUCUUACUCUGUUCACAUUUCUUUUUUGGUUCGCACCAUGGGAUUUUUUCCAUCUCACUGCUUUCUUACUGUAAAGGUGAAUUUGUCGAGCAAGUGGGGAAGGAAGGAGAUAUUUUAAUGAUAACUUGAUCCCCCUGUGGGCGAGGAGCCAGAUGAGAAAAUCAAGUGAAACCAAGUGUUAAAUGCACGAGAGUGGAGCUGAUAAAUUAUUGAUGACCCGUGGCAUUGCAUGACCAACCACACACACUAACACAUGUUUCUUAAACUCAUAAACACACACUAAUACAUGUACAAAACAUAGAAAAGACACACUUAAUAUAGCAUGUCCAGCUUACAACCAACAUAUGAUAUUUGUCUGUUUGGCAACAAAACCUGGAAUGAAAUAUCCGGUAGAAUAAUGAAUAACUCCCGCAUUAGCAAAGGCUGCAAUAAUGUCUUCUGAGAGCAAAUGUGCAGCUCUAAAACUUAUUAUUUUCUAAAAAUGACUCGCACAGAAUCAUAAGUCAGACUAAUAGGCCAUUGUCAAAAGAAACCUCAUUCUCUAAGAAGUCAGCGCUCUGCAUUACUGUUUACUGUAGCAGAAAUAAAUGGAAUUAAUUUGGUUGGAAAGAGACUUCUAAUCAUGUUGCCCUUCUAUUUCAUGCAACAGCAAAAAAAAGAGCUAAAAAAUUCCAAUUAUUUCUCAUUAAACCCUGUACCACCUCCUUUCAGUGACUUCCUCUUAAUUGGAAUAUGAAAUUAACAUACUCCCAUGAAAUAGCUGAAGGGAUCCAGAAGAAACAAGAUCCUAAUGACACGCCCUGCUAUCAAUCAAAGGUGAGGCAAUGACAAAGCAGAUGGGUGCUCAGGGAUAUUUUUAACCUCUAUUUACCCUGUUUUGAGGACCUUGUUAUUCCAGUUUUUAAAUCGUGCAACGUUAGAUAGAUUCUCAGCUGAGGGCAUAUCGACUAUAUCCAUUCACAAAACUCACGGUUGUGUUUUUGAUGCAUCCUUGAGGGCGAAAAAGCUCCAAUAAAAGACCAUUCACAUAGAAACCAUAAUAAUUCUGCAGUAUUUCUGUUAACCUGGAGGGGUCAGCUCCCCUGAACAUGCUCACAGGACUAUUCAGGCCUCAUUGCAUUUGAGAUUUCCAUCCUUUUGAAUUACUGAGAUUAAACAUAAACAGACCAAUAAACUUUAUGUGCUGCAUACUGUAUUUGUCAGUCAAAUGUAAAACCAUAGAAAUUUUGAAUAACAAAUGACAUUAAUGCAUUGAUUAUUGAAUUUGUUUCUGUUUCAUAAUUUUUAACUAAAUGAAUCUUAGUUGAUCUACAGCUUAUUGUUUUUAAACUAUAUUCAUACAUUUUAACAGGUUAACCUGAAUUGUUUUCAGGAUAACAGAUUUAUGCUGAAUUCAAGACAUUUGAAUAAAUUAACUCCAAGUAAUUAAAUAAUCUAAAUAAAAUCAAAUAGGUGUAAAUAGUCAAAAUUAAGCUAUGCCACAAUUCAUUUUUCUGAGUGCAGUGAAGACUUCAAUCACUCCAGUGUUGGCCUGAGGAGUGUGUGACAACCAUGUCUCUCCUAUGGUGCACAUUUUGGUAACCCUUAAUAUUGUAUUAUAUCAAGAUGCAUCAUGAGCACAUUUGUAAAGCCUUACUGAUGCAUUUAUAAGACUUCAUGGAAACACAGAGGGUCUAAAGCAACAAGGAUUGGUAAAAAGUCUUGUGAAUUAAUUAAUUUAUAAGAACUUUAUAAAUGUGCUCAGGUUCAUAUAAAGCCCUACAUUUUUACCUGUCAAUCGAAUGGUAGUUUUACCAAUAUCAUCCUGUGUUUUAGAAAUAUGGAGGACUGUGCUGAUAUGAUGAGACAGGUUAAGAAACUUAAUGUGAAGAUUCAUAAUAUCACCCAUUUAUCACCUCCACCGUACACAACUUUUCACCAGUUGUUUUUGGUGUAGUGAAUUACACAGAAGAAAGCUCAUUUUUAAUUUUCCUGUCAUCUAACUUCAGGGUUUCAAGCGCACGAGCAUCGACGUUGUCAAAACUUAAAGAAAUCUUCUUUGCUCAAUGAUCAUACACUGUUUUACCAAUUAAUCAUCUUUUUCUUGGAUGUUGUGUGCUUUCAAGGGUAAGAGAAGUUGUAUGAUGUUUUGUAAUUGGCUUUCAUUUCAUAGUCCCCUGAAGCAUGAUGAAGAAAAGACAAUAGAAAAGUUCUCCCAGCAAGAAAAAAGUCACCAGCUGCACCCUCCACUUAAAACACCUUCAAGGCUUACACUGUUUAUAUUCAUAGUCCACGACCUGCAGCCACAUGCACACACAUGCACACACACAACAGGCAGCAAGGGGAGGCGAGGAAGACAAAGGAAGAGUUCAGUGAUAACAAAUUAGAGGAGUUUGCUCUGUGGCAGAACAGUGGCUCCCUCUGAUUAUGUCUAAUUAACCUCUAUGGAAUUAAACAAGCAGGCACUGAGGGAUUAGCGCACAGAGGCAUGAUCUUUAUGCUUGCGUAGUGUGUGUGUCUGUGUGUGUAGAGUACCAAUCUGUCAGACUUUGCCUGUCCUUCAGACCCAUCACACAAAACGGAGCCGUCUCUCCUACUUACAUCCACCUACUUAUACAUAUUAACACAAACCUUCUCCGACAUUGACAGUUCACGCUCACCCUCAAGAAAAGUCGCCGCUUAAAAAAACCAGAGUGAUUGAAAUUCAAAUAUACACAAGCUCUUGUCGCUUACAAGAAAACUGCAUUUCCUGAGCUUGACUGUUACCACUGAACACUUCGCCUGAACUCUCACCAUCCUCCCUGGGGUCGUGCCCGGCCUCUCAGUUUAACCCCACCUAACCUUGUACCUUAUUUUAACCAUAAAACAAACCAUGACCCUUUAAUAAAAGUGCUAACUUUUUAAGAAAUCUGAUGUUGUUCAGAGUGAUAAUAGACAGUGUGUAUGCUCGGGUGUCCUCAGGGAUCCCUUAGCAUGCAGAAAUAUCCAAACAUGUUUAAUAUUUAUGAUUUUAAGUCAGGAAGUCAGUGAUUGUCUCCCUUGCAGACUUAAGAGAAGAAAAAUCACUCCUAACACACCUCACACCAUUAUCUGGUAAGCUCAUCUGCUGGACCUUUCCAAGAUGGUGCCUUUGCAGACUUUGGUUGGAAGGCUGGCCCAGAACUGGCACGGUUUUCUUGUAGUUUGUGCGUGCUUUGGGUCUUAAGAAAUGGAGCCAAUCUGGAAUCCUAAAAACUGCACUUCUUCAAGUUCUUGAGGCUGGAUUUUAGUCUGAAUAGUUAAUUUCUUAAUCUGGCGUGAACUUUUCGCUAACUCGUUUUUUUUACAGAAUAAGAGUUUAAGAGUUUGGCACAAUGAGAGGCACAGUUGACUUAUUGUCAGACUGGUUUGUGCUCAAGUCCUCUUUUUUCUGUACAGCUCCAUUUUUAAAAGUUAUCAGGGGGUUCGUGUUUUCUAUGAUUGACACUUGAUACAGCCUAUGGACGUACAAGGAUUGCGUAGCUCACCCGGGGGAUAUGCUGUUUGAGCAGAGCGUCAUCACAGCGACUCUCCCGCCGAAUGCGUACAAUGCUACUGCGCAAGUGGUGGAGUGUGUACAACACUACUGUGCAAUGUUGGUUUUAAGAAGUGGAGGAAAAACACGGAAUUACCGAGAGCUUUUCGGCUUCAAAUCUGUAUACUGGUGGAAGGUGGAACCAAGUUGCCCAUAGUAUAUACAGUCUAUGGUGUGCACACUGUAAGGAGGCAAAAGGCUCGCUUUGCUGGGUCAGUAUUUCCAAUCCGGCUAUCACUGCCCAUAGGCUAGGUGACUUAGGCUACAUUUAAGUUUGAUACAGUCCUGUUGUUUAAUAAUUCACUACACCUCUGAUAUUCUGUCCAUCAUGACCACUGACAUUUACUGCAUUCACUUAUUUUAUUCCCCAAAUGAAGUUUUUGUCUUUCUGUUGGUCUUGCCAGAGAAUAACCUCUGGUUCCUGGUGUUUAUGCAUCAUGUGUCCUGGCUGAUUUCAGAGCUUUAAAAGGCUUGCCCAACAUUGCUCAUCAUUCAGGGACUUUCUAUUAUCUCAGAGUCAGAGACAAAGAAAUACACUUAGUGCGGCUCAGACUACCAAUUACUGUGACUGUACUGGCUUUAGUGUUGAAUUUCCAUCACGAGGACCUUGCCGAGGGCACUAAAUGUGCUAGGUCCUACCCUGAAAGAGGAUCUACACUGUUACAUCUUACCAGUUCAAUCGUGGCUGCGUUUUCUCUCUCCCCCUUGCAUUAUAUAAUCUCAGUGACUAAGUCAACACUUGUAACACCUCUGGCUUCUUUAUAAAAAGCCUGCCAAAGAGGGAGCUUUUAUUAGGAGACAUUGCGGGAAGUGCUACAGCUCUCUUCGGGAGAAGGUCAGAAAAUGGAAUCAAGGUGAUGAAACAAAACUGAAACAGAUUUACUCCCACUCCUGAGGUGACCAAACAGCUGAUGCUCUCUCCCUGCUGGUUUGCAGACAGUUAGACUGACACAGCUGUAAAUGAGGACUUUUAUUAACAAUCGGUCAGUUUAGAAAGCAAUCUCAUACGAAUACUCCCUCCUCAAUACAUGACAGGUAGUGCUGAGCUCAGCAGGUGUGCAGGGAUGAAAAAAAGUGAUGCUGUUGAUGCACAGUGUAAGGAAAAAACAGAUGGACGAAGACAAAAGAGCUGGCAAACUGCCGAAAACUUUGAGAAGAAAGUAAAAGGAGGGGUAAAAAGGAGGAAGGAUUUAAUUGGCAAAAAAAAAAAGAUGCAACAGGGACAUGUUAGUCUAAAUUGGUGUUUUUUCUUUCUUAAUUGGUGCUUUUUCUUCAUCAACAUUUACCCCAGAGUCUCUAGUAAUAACUAGUUAUCUCUGGUGAACUGUUUGUGUUUGUGCCAUGAUUACUUUCACUCCCAAUGUUUAAAUACUACCCGCUCAACACAUAAUGUGGUUAUAAUUUAAGAGCUAUCAACCUUUUAAAAUUGUUACUAUAUUCCUGAUAGCGAAAGCAAAGUCAGGGACGUCCCUGAUCUAUCUGUGGAAAGGAGUCUGCCACUAAGGCAAAACUUCAGUGUCUGUUAUCACUCUUAAUCCGUAAACAUUGAAGGGAAAAAGGGGGACAUCAAUUUCAAGCUGGUCUGGAGAGUUUGAAAAUGGUGAUAGUUACCGUGUUGAUGUAGGAGCAGUUUGAGGAGCUAUUGGGCCCAAAUCAUCUCUGAUAGGAAAAGGUGGAGCAGCAUCCUGUCCUGCAAUCCAGGCAACAUCAGCAGAGCUGGUGAGUGCAUCUUAAGUUGCUGACUGCCAUGAAUAACUUCAACCAUAUGAGAGAGUGAUAGCGUCAAUGUUAAAAUGUGUGACAUUUGCAAAGCUGAAGAAGGAAAAGAGCUGAAGGAGGACAGAAAUGGCAACAUAAAUAUUCCUGUUCACCUUGUUCAAUGUUAACUUUAAUGGAAAUGUUCAAUUUGAUUUAUUCUUUGAUAGAUGAGCAGCAAAUGUUACAUCCCGGCUGUGAAUCGAAAUGUUCAGUCUAAUGUUUUAUCAUAGCCAAAGGUGUUUGAUAAGAUUCUGCUUCCAAAGAAGAGUUUCUAAGUGUAGGUAUCAUUUUGAAACUAAAUUAAACCAUUUUUGUCAACCUGUUUAUGACGAGGUAAUGAGCAGGAUAAUGAGCAGUAUUGCUUUAAAUGGUAGAGACUAUUUUAAAGUGCUUUAUUCCAGCAUCAGAAAGCUCAAUAUCUUGAGAGUGCAUUUAAAUCAGACAAUGUCAACACAUGUACAGUUUACAAUAAUCGCUUUUUCAUUACUACACAGUGCUGAGCAAAAAUGACCUCUAAGUGUGAUGUACUUAUUUUCUUCUCCAGGGUGUUACAGGGAAGAACAGUUUGAUGUCCUUGUUGAAUUUAACAGUACAGAGCAGGCGUAGCCCACAGUCUUGGUGUGUAUGCAAUAAAUAUAAACAACAAUUUUAGUCGAGCUAACAGCGUAAACAUUUUCUAAAAUCUUCUGAGUGGUGAUAAAAAAUCUCCAUCUUUGAAGGCGUUUUGAAAACAGUGACUUUAACUCAGCCCUUUUUUUCGUUUUUUUUUUAUUUAUUUUUUUUUUAGAAAUGUUAUGUUAAUGUCACAUACUUGUGUGCUUGGGCCUCGAAACGCUGCUGCCAGGCUUCAGACACAAACAAAAGAGGGAAUCAUAUAACUAAAGACAGUGCUUGCUAUCCUUCACCAGGUGCCUCAGAACUGACUUUGAGAUUGUUUCGAGAGCUUAAAAUGUUUGGGCUUCAGCCUGUUUCUGUGAAGUGCUAACUCCGUACGAGCUUUACUGCUGCUUGAGGUCUUUCAGCAGAGCCCUACUCAUGGAUCAUGAGUCUUGGCUGGUCAAAAGAGGUUUGCAGUUUGUGCUUCACAGCCGUGAAACUCCCUCCCUGAGGAUGUCAGAGAGACAAACUCAGUGUCCUCUUCUGAAUCUCUCCUUCAAACUCACUUCUAUCAUGCUUACAUAUUUGAUUUGUUUUGAUUGUUAUUUACUUUAUAUAUUAGUGUUUAUGUAUUGAUAACUAUAAUCUGCUUUUUUUGAUUAUUAUUUGAUUGAAUUGUUUUUAUUUGCUGAGUACUUUGUUACGUAUCUUGCAAAAGUAUUACAUAGGUGUGUUACAGUUAUUGAUGUAGCUUCCUCCUCUCUGUUCAAAGCUCCCGCUCCUUCCUGAAACUAUUGUAACCUGAAGGUUCGAUGUAAGGUGGUUGGAUAAUUCUGAUGAGAAACAGCAGGAUGGAGGCGGAUAACUUUCUUAGCAGCACUUUUACUGUUCAGCCAUCUUGUCAUAACCACAACAUAACCCAAAAACUUAAUAUCCUUGACAACCCUGAUCACAUGUCACAGCACUUACCAAUCAGAGGCUAAGAACUCAAAGUAAACGUAAAUGAACCUCAAAAACACAUUCUGCAGAAUCUGCUCACCCUCACUAACAGCUGCAGAGAAAAGCAUUUCAACUUGUAAAUAUGUGAAUAUGAACCUGUCAACACUUUGUGAAUAGUUCUCUGUAUGAAUUCUAUAAACACUAUUGUUUAGCUUAGUUUACUGUAAUAAUUAACAGGAAUAUAUGAGUUGACUUCACUGUUAAAGCUUACACUAUGAAAACAUGCAUCUACUCACAUUUUUUCAUUGGGAUGUUUUAUUUUACCAGUUGUGUCUUUGUACAAACUUAAAAUAAAAGUUUAGUGUACAUUGAUCACAAGGUUUUUAAAUAAGCCAAUUUAUCCACAGACAUCUCCCCCUCCUCCAUAAAAUCAACACACCUCUAUUAAAACAUAGAAACACAAAAUAAAUCAGUUUUACUUUCAAAAAAUAAAGUUAUCAGUUUUGUUGACACUUUUUUUUUCAGACAGAGUGCUAGAGGGUUGUGUUAGCAGAGCUGUCGCUACCUCGUGUUCAAAGGCAAGUUUAUUUCUGACAAUGCUUUCCACAGCCUCAUAUAAUAGAGAUGAUAAUUAAAAUCAGCAAAGACACAGUUUUAAACAUUUUUGAGUCAAAGCAAUCUGUAAAUGUCUGAUGCUAACAGAAAAGUUAAGUUUGUCGUUGCUAAAAACCCUGUUAAAGGGAUAUUCCGGCUUAAAAUCAUUUCCUUGGAGAUGCAAUCAGACAGAGAUGCUAAGGCAGAAGAACUACUACGUCUGCAGUGCAAAAUGAUUAAUAUGGUGAUUAUUACUUCAAGGAAAUGAUAAAGAAAUGAUCAUAAAUGUUCUUCCUUGAGCUGUGUCACCCCGCAGCAGUCCGUAACGGACUGGCCUGAGGUCUCGCUACAAACAAGCGGCUGCUGGAAGAGAGUGGGUGAGUUGUGUUUAGUCUCUUUGCUAAAGAAAUCAAAGUUAAAAAGAUGUUUGGUGGCUAGUGCUAUGGCUGGGACCCUAUAUGUACUGUUGAUGAAGUUAGGUGCCGUUCUGAGCAUUAUUUGUGGCUAUAGAGUGGCUUUUUGAUCGAGAUUUGUUUAUGGCUCCUCAGACCGCUGUGUAUCGCCAUCGUGCGGUCUUUACUUAAGUUGGUAUAACUAGAGAAGCAAGUGGUCGUCAACAUUCAUCUCUUGAGGGGUUGUCUAACUCAGUGUUAUGGUGUGUUUGACCCUAAAUUAAUUUUACGCCGGAAUAUCCUUUUAAGUUACAAAAACAACACUUACUUGAUGUAAAACACUUUUUAAAAAGUAGUAGGAAAUGUUAAAUAGAGUUGAGAGCUUUUGACUAAGUAAAAUGAAACCCCUGCGUUCUAAAGCAAAGACAUAUUGCUUAUAGAGAAAUACCUGUACCACCACACACACACGAACACACACCUAUCUACCUAAUCACCUCCUCAUCAGCUGGAGAUGAGGGACUUAAAUAUAUUACAGACAGGCUGAUUUGACAGAAUGAGGACCAGGCUGCAGGAAAUUUGAGCAAGACAGAUUUCUCCACCCACUUCCAGCUCCUCACCAACACUAAUUAUACUGACCCUCCACACGCACGCACACGUGCACGCACACUCACACACACAGAUACAAGCCUGUGUUUGCCAGAUCCCCAGUGCAAAGCAUGGUGUGUUUGAACAAGGCAGCCUGUUAAAGUGUCUGAUUAGACCCCUGUUUGAACAGGAAGCGACAGCAACCUAUCAGCAUGCAGCGAGGACCAGCCAAUCAUCGCCAUAGCUCAUGUGCUGUGGGCCUCUGCUUCUUGCUGGCUCGUGCACAUCGUGCAUCACGCCAGCUCACACAAAGACGAACACAAAGACACACUGGCUGACACAUUGAGAAAGACGUCUACAUAGAGAAGCAGACUGACACACCCACACACACAGCAGGUUUCUACCCAUAAUACAUUUAGGCGUCCUCAGAUGGGUGCAGAGAGAAAUACCCAAUUUACUCUGAUUCGAUUGAUAAUGACCUUCCCACUGUGAAGCAGGUGCAGGUCACUGUGCAAACAGCUGGCAGGCAGGGAUGAGGCAGGGUUGCAGUCAUAUGCCUCUGCUUUUUCUUCAUCUAUUAGACUAAUAUUUCUGCUCUGAACUUGUUUUUUCACUUUCAUAUUUCAAUAUAGAUGCAGAAUGGGAUUUAGACCAGAGCAAGGCCUGCACCAUUAGAGAAAGUCUGCCAUGUGUAGAAAAGUGCUGUCAUGUAAUCAGAUUUUCACCUCAUGGUCAUUUUGCAAUAAUUAUGGAAAAGUCGCCAAAAAAAAACACCUCCAGGAACUCAUUGUCUCUACAUUUUUACAUUAUUCAACCUGAAACACAGAGGUAGAAGAAAACGUUCUCACUCACUAUGAUUACAGAAAUUGGGACCCUCUUUUUUGGCCUCAGUCCCAGCCCCAUAUGCUUGUCAGGAUGGAGGUGGCAGCAGGAAGAGCAGAUGAGGAAACAGCUACUGCUUUUGCCAUUUCUUUCGCCUCACAUGUGCUAAUGAAGUUGUCACCAUCACAAAUUAAUCAGCAUUCAGCAGACAGUGACAGAUGAUGGGUGCAAACCAGGUGACGCCUUUUGUCUUUGUGUCUUCUUAUCAUUUUACGCUGACAUUAGGUAUGGAUUACAAAACAAGUCCUACAAAUUAAACAUCAAAAAAUGACAUUUACGUUCAUACUCCGGCUCAAGGAUGACUCAGUGAGGCUGUUAUUUGACUAUUCCUACUAAAAUCUACUUUAAAGUGAGAUUUGUGCGCAAUAUGGGAGUUAUGCAGCCCCUAAAAAUGCUUUCACACAACAUAAAAGCUGAGGAGAAUUAUGCAGUUGGUUGCAAUCUGCAGUGUGUACAAUCCUUUUGCAGUGGCACCAUAACAAGGCUCCAUUGUUGCACCACUGCGCACUACUGGUACAAUGAACCCAACGGCAGCAAAACAGUGGUGACUCAGUGUGUGACUUCACACGGACUUACAGUGUUGAUGAAAAGCAAAAAUGGCAUAAUAUGUGGACAUACACAGUCAUGCAGCAUGAUGACUCUGUCCUCUCAUUUUACACUGAAAUACAAGCAGCAAAAGUCUCAUCCAAAUAGACAAUGUGAAAGGGGCUAAUACUAGCUGCCUCUAAAUCAUACAAAGAGAUGAUGUGAUGACUCUUUCUUUAAGGUUUGCAUAUGUUUAAGAAUUUAACUCAAGUCUAACAUCACUUAUAAGAGUAGAAAAACUAGCAGUGGUGUAAAACAAGAGUUACCGUUUUGACCUAAAUAUAAGAAAUACGUCUGGAAAAAAAGUGUGAUCAUCUUAAACUUGGGGUUUAGUGAUUGAAUACGAAGACAAAGGACAGCUUCACUUCUUUGUGAAACAAGAUAUUUAAACAUUUUUCAUUUUAGAGUGAAUGUGAUCCUAAUUGUCUUUAUCUUAAUAACCAUACUUCUGUCAAAUACAGACAAUAUUGUGUUUCAUCAAGUCUUUGCAAAAUGUUCAACCAGAGCAACAUCUCAAUCAAAACCCCCUUUCAACACUGCUACAGCGAUUUCCUUUGCCAAGUGUGUUUUGGAAGAAACACAAUUUCUCUUUGGAUUAUUUUUCACUGGCAAAGUUUUUGAAGGGAUUUGGUGCCAGAAACUGGGAUUCAUAUUCUGCAUCACAUGUGCUGUGAGGUUUAGAGUGACUGCUUAAAGACAGGGUAUACAGCACUUACUCAAUAUCCAUGAAAGUUUUCUGACUUUUUGCCCUGCUCUCAUUUCCAUGCUACGCCAUGCUUAAAAACUUGUCCAACAAUCUUCUCCUCCUUUUUUCCUCGUAAUUUAAAAAAAACCUUUUGGCUUCUUGAUUGGGAGUUUAAAUGUGAUAGUGAAUAUUUUGCUCAUACUAUCAAUGCCAUUUUUUUCCAUAUAGUGUCAAUCUAUUUUUAAAGCUUUUGAUCAGCUGCACAGACAUUUUAAAGGGUUUCCUAUAAUCUGCAUGAGCACUGGGAGGAGGUUUCUAGAUGUGGGGGGGUUGGAAUGACUUCUCCUUGACUGCAGCCCCCUAUCUCUCUCUGACUGUCGUCUAGACCAGCAGCUGAGUCUCCGUGUCCCUAAACUCCUUAGUGCAGGAGAGACAGCCAGUCUGUCUGUGUCAGUAGGCGCUGCUCCACUCUCAGCAAUGACCCUUCACAUUUAGUCGUCCCCAGACGGAGCCUUUCUUAGCCCCUCACCACAGACUCGUACCUCUGCGCCCUUCUCACCUCCCAAAACGCCCACAUCCACGCAGAGUCGCCACCUUGGUCUUUCUUUGUUUGUCACAAAGUCACCCCUCCCUGCAUGCACCCUUUUGUUUGUUUUUCCCUCUCUCCCCUCUGACUCCUUAAUCUCCUCAGGUAGCCAUAGUGACAGAAUUACAUGUCAUUUGGCCAAAAUGCAGUCAUUGUGCAUCCAUAUCUUGGCCUCUUUCAACCCAUGUAAGUGAGAGAUCAGUCUUUCAAUUUGUGUGAUUGUCAGCUCAAUCACUGCACCUUUUAAUUGCUAUGUCCAUGGCACAUGCAGUCGUUUUUCUCUGUCUUCAAGCUAAAUGAUCAUUAUUAGCUCGCUGGGGUUGCAGGGGAGGAGAGCUGAGCUAAUGACUGAUAGAAAUCUCUUUGUUUUGCUCUUGUUAUAUACUGGCUGUAGCUGCAGGAGGAGGAGGCGGGUGGGAGGGUUUGAGGAGGACGAAGUGCUGCUUAAUAACAGAAUGAUGGACUAUCAAAGGGAGAAUAAUCACCAUGCUUAUUCAGGCCCUGCAUUUUCAGGUCAUUUAAAACUUUAUCUGAUGGGACUAAUAGACAGCAGGCGAUAGAGGCAUACUAAUUUGAUUGAAAAAUGUGCAUAAUUAUGUUUCAAUACAGAAACUUUGCACGUACAGUUGUUGAGUGAUUGUAGUGGCUUCUCUUUUGUUAUGCACAUAAAUUAGCCAUUGGCUAUAAUGGCUUUGGAGGCAGACGUUUUGACAAGCACCUCUUGAAGCAUUUGUCUCAACAAAGGGCACUUAUCAUGAGUGCAUGCCUAAGUUUGACCUCGACCAGAGUGAGCUGCAGCCGGAAGAGUGGCAGGCGAGAGAGUAAGCAGGAGAAAUCUCUGUAGGCUUGGAAAAAAAAACACAGUUUGGACAGCAUUUACACCUAAACUCUCUCACGCAACUAUCCAGCCUCUGAACAGCUACUCUUUAGUCACAGAGUGCGUGUGUUUCUUUGGCAGCACUCUCGAGUUGGUUAACCAUUGUUACACAAAUCUGUUAUUGAAUUUCUUUCUCACUAUUGGCCUAUGUACUGUGUCGUGGUGUAUAUUCUGUCUCAUUGUGGUAAAUCAUGUCAUUUUACUCAGCUCAGUAAUCAGAGUCAGCUUCUUCAGCUUUCAGUGUCUCUUCAUUUAUUAACACUUCUGGCUCUCAGAGGUUUGUAAAAUUUUGCACAUUUUUGACCCUUAAUUGUAUUUCGUGUACAUAAAACAUUUUAAUUGUAAAAAAAAAAAAAGGUAUUUUAAGCCCUUUAUAUCAAAUAUUUAAUAACAUAAAAAUAAAACUCAGAAUUAAAAAAAAGAUGACAGUCCUGAUUUUUUUCUUAUUCAUUUACUAAUUUAUCAAUUAAGUUAUUUACUUAUCAAUCAACCUUUGUUUUUGUAGAGCCAACUCACAGCAAAUGUUUACAAAAAGACCCGGUCUAGAUACAACUUCAAUACAACUACAUCAACGUCAUUCAUUUAUUUAUCUAUUUAUUUAUUCUAAAGACAAUUUUGCCAGUUUCCUGUGGUGCCAGAAUUUUUUACAAUAUUGCAUGAAAAUCAUUAAACCAUUAAUAUAAAACAGCUCCUGUGGGGAACUUUUGGUAUGUGUCAAUUUUGGCACCCUGUGGACAAAGCAGGAUUUCCCUUUUUUGUCAUCUACAUACUCAAGUAGUGUCUUCAAACAAGAAAAACUGUAUUUUAGGUGGAAAGUGUAAAAACAGGGCUGCUUCUUUAGCUGCUUGGCAGACACCUACCCCCUUGCGUUGGCUCCAGGCAUAAAAAAAAAAAAACACAAAACAAAAAUUAUCAAUAUUGUUGCUGAUGGUCCUGUGUGUUGUUAUUAUUAUUAUUUUUUUUCCGUAUUACUAUGAAAAGGCUUAAAAAUGUUUGGGUUUAUUCCUAAACAUCAAAAAACUACACACAAGAGCUUUAAAUCUACUUGAUUGUUCAUGAAACGGGCUGAAAUGAGCAGUGAUGCAUUUUAUGAUGUAAAACAGCAAAGGAGACCAUUUUCAACGAGAGUGAGAUCUUCUACAUUUUCAUUUCUAAUGCCUGUAAUACUUGUGAGGGUUAGGUACACAGAAAAAAAACAGCCUUCGUUACUAUUUCUACAGCAAAUAUUUAAAGUGAUCUAUAAAUUUUACCCUAAAAAGACAAUAAGAGGAACAUUUGAUAGCCAAUCAGAAUUCACAACAAACAUAGUGAUGGUGAUAAUAGUAAACACACAACGCAUAGAGUCAUGGACAUCAGAAAUGGAGGAUAACCCUGUUCAUUUGUCACAGCUGUGUUUCUGUAAACCAUAGCUCAACCAAACAGAGAGGGGAAAGAGUUGAAAGAGUCACUACACGACUUGACAUGUGAGGGUGGCUAAACAGCUUGCAUUAUUUAGCCUGUCAUCUGCGUUGUUUGUUUACUCUUAAGUCACGUUUGAUCUUGAGGGACGUAAUGAGAUUUCUAGUUUUGCAUGUUGCAACACAGAAUCUGUGUGUGUGUGGUGUGCUGUACUGCUCUCAUUAUACUGUAAAACAGGGGGGUUAAAAAUGGUCAUUAUUUGUCACCAAGUGUUGGGUCCCUUACAUUUUUAAUGUGUGUUAAGAUUUAAAGAAUUUGAAAGUGUAGACAAAGAUUCAGGGGAACGAUCUUUGAGAGCAAACCGGUAAAACCAGCUGUGAUAGUUUUUAAUUCUGUUGGGGUGGAUGUUUUUAUCACAUGUGUUGCUCAAAAAUAACAAUUUUAUGUUUAAAAUGUCUAUAGCAACAUCUCUCCCCAAGAAAGUAUCCCUGUGCCUCACCCAGAGUUCAUGAGAAAAGAUUUUGGGGGACUAUUUCCUCACUGAAAAGUACUGCAAGUCUGUUUUUCAGAUAAAGUUGCAGUUUUUUUUUCAAUACCACAAGCUUACUAGCAAAGCUCCAUUCACAUCCUUACUAAAACUCUCCUCAACAGAUUUAUCUAAACUUUGGGAGAGACGAUUUGACAACCGAAAACAAGGAAGUCUUGCCUAUAUUGGACAAAUCUGCUCUUUUAGGUCUCAUUUGACUCGUGUUAAUGAGUUUACAGUGCAGCUCUGAGCCCUGGAAGUCGACCGCAUCAUCUUGACUCACAAAGAAAACAAAAGAAAAUGUGCUCAGUGAGUGUGAUCUUUACACUCGGCCCCUCGAUCACCACCAGCCACAGGCGAACAGAGGACGAUAUUGUGCCCCAGACGCAGCUGCUCCAAGGAGGGGAGUCUGCUUUUUCUAUUUCCCCUUCACCAGUAAGAAAGAGCAUUUGAUACUAGUUCCCACAAACAUUCACACACUUCUGUUCCUGUGAGUCUCAUUCACCCACAGCACACACCCCACCCGCGCCUCUCCCCUGCACUGAAUUUCCUGCAUUCCCCUCUGCUCACAUGCCACUCCCACUCUCAUCCUUCCUACCCCACAUACCCUGCACAUGCCCUCUCCUAUCCCUCCCUGUGGUCAUCUUAACUGCCCACGCUGAGGAGCUGGAAGCAUCUCUAUAUUUACUCCAUCUCCACCCUGGCAGCCAUGCAUCUUUCAUCUGCGGGGCUGGAUGACCUAUAUUCUCAGUCUGGCCCCCGUGCAGCCAUAGUUCACCGCUGCUCCACUCCAUCCUGCUGCUCUCUCCCUCUCUGGCCCCAGGCAGCAGCAGCGGCAGCAGCAGCAAGCAGCAGCUGUGGGUGUGGCAGCCGGGCUCUGAAUUAGAAUGGGCACUGCAUGCUGGCACAGACGCCCAUUCAGAGCAAUCUAUCUUUGCUGUCUAGAGCUGGGAGACCUUUAUAAAAAGAAGCAGCUAAACAAACACUCAGUGCACCAGGAAGACGACAGAGACGCGGGAACAGGCCCAUACCCGUGGCGUUAUAAAUAUUUUAAAUUCCUUGUGUUUGGAAAGAGUGGCUCUUUAAGAUUCUCUGAAUAUAGGUCAAAGCAUUUCUUAUAGCACAUGACCCAGUUUACCUGUUUUUUUUUUUUUCCGACAGCGCUGUAAUUGCAUCCCCUAAUAUGAUUCAACUAAUUAUCACUUGGUAUAAAUUUUCUGUAGAUUUAUAAAUACACGGCAGAGCCGAUCAAACAGAGUAUAAGGAGGAUUCUGUAAUGAAGCUGAUUUGCUAAUCAACAAUGCAGUCUUGAUUUGCUGCUCAUGGCCCUCGACACAUUAAGUUUGUUUUUUUGUUGAGCGGUGAAUAUGCAAUCACACUCCCUCUAAUCCAGGUCAGUAGGCUAAGAUUUCUCCGCGCAGCCGAACGAAUGCGUCUCCACACUUUCUAAUCACUGUUAUCAGCGUUUGCUCUGAAAUGGAUCUGAAUGUUCUCAGUUAUACAUAACAUCAAAAACAACCUCCCACAUCACUCAGGAAAGGUAACACAGUAGGUGUAUUAUGAAAAAUUACCAAGUGUAAUCUGUAGGAGGGCUUUAACUGUGGUGUUAAUGUUAGAAAAUGAGGCAGAAAAGAUACCGGACUUGUCUUUGUUUCGUUACCUGACCGUGCACCCUGGAUGAGACAGUGCCAGGUUUUGGCAGCAGAGAGAGCGCUGACACAGAAACACACAAACACACAAGCACACGCUGCUAUGUUUAACUUGUUUAUCCUGCUAACAGGGUUUAAUCAUUUAUGUUAAUCCACAAAAGCUGUUGAGAGGGUUUUCUCUUUUAAACAGAUGUCACCACACUCUGCCUGUUUAUAUUUCUGCCUCAAAGUCCGCGUCACCGCACGACUCAGUAUGUUGUUUAUCCGACAGCUCGCCCGGCCAUCUAUCCAUCUAUCAUCCAUCCAUCCAAAAGCUUUCAUGUGAGUUCAACCUUGUGGAAAACAAGAGACUCAUGUUAAGUGGACACUAGAUAGCACAAACAGCUGCAGGCUGACUCCAUGUCGAUAGCUGAACAGUUCAAAACAAUUUGUUAGGUGCAUACUGUUUCCACAUGAGGAGAUAGACUGGCUCCCUUUGGUCUAAUCCUUAAGAAUUUCACACUGCACACGAAAACUGACUAAAACUGAUCCUUUGAGAUCCACCAAAUGUUUGUACAAAGAUUACAAUUCAACAUGAAGUAAUGGCGUCAACAUAGAAAAAUACUAAUCAGAUGCUCCUCCCCCCCUUGGUAGGAUUUGUAUUGCUAAUGUAGUCGCCCUCUGCUGAGUCACGGUCGUUCCCAUACCCCGGGAAGUGACCUCUCUUUGAGUUGGAGACAGGUGUCUGACCCUUCCCCCCUAGUGGCAGAACCCCUCCGCCUGAAUGUCACACACACACAGCGUUCACACACACGAUUACAAGCACCGAAGGCAGCUUCCGGGUUGUGGGGUCACUGUGACAUGCACAGGCCAAGCUGUCAUGUCAAGCUUUAUUAAGAGCCAGGGCGUCUGGGAGAUUUAAUUAGCGUGGUCUGUGUGAGGUAAUUCCCUGAUGCAGACUAGGUGCUGGGCUAAGGUAGAGGCUAAUAAUAUGUCUCUAACUGGAGCAGGGCCAGAGCUGGGCCGUGCUCGGAUAGAGCUCAGAGGAUACCGGUGACACUCUGGCCAAUCUCUCUCAGUGUAGAUGUCAAACAGUUCACUAGUGGCUGAGCAGGGAUGACCUGGAGUUCAUGUGAGGUAAGCAGAGCAGCUUAUACUCUCCAAGAACAUUAUGAGAGCUGCAAUGAAAUAAAUAUGCUUUAUAUGUGCAGUUGGUAUUCUUUGAAAUAUUAAACUUGUUGAUUAAAGUGAAGGAACUUUAUAAAAGUGCAAAACAUUAGAAAACAAAUUUAGGUUUGAUGCCCCACUGAGUAGAUGUCAAGGGGUGACCCGGGGUAUGUACCAAUCCAAACACCUGCUGAACAAAAAGUUCUUAAAAUCCAAGUUUCCACUUUCUGGAAACACUUUGAAUCUCCAGUGAACUACAACAAUAGACAAAGAGCAGGGAUAAGACAAAAAUAGGGUGCUGAAAUUAAUCCAUAAUGAUCCAUGUUGAUAUUUCGGCCCUCUGUAGACAAAGUCUUACAUGUUCUCUAUUGUCCUUUACAUAUGAUAAUAGUGUUUUCAAACAAAAACCUCACCCUGUUGUCUUUUAAUGAGGAAAUAUAUCACUCACUGUGUUUUGCUAUGAAAAAAAGUCAAAAGAAGCUGUAUUUUAAGCCUGCAGUGUUUUUUAUCAAACAACAAUUACUACACUGAAAUUAUCAGACAUGUUGCUGAUGGCUUUAUUGGAUUUGAAGAUCAUAAAGAGGCUUCAUUAUCAGUAUCUUUCUCCCAAACUGUUGAAAACUUUUAAAAAAAUCUGGGCUAUGAUUUGUAAAAGCAAAGUUUUAUACAAUCUAAUAAUGGACAAGAAAUUGUAAGUGUUGUCUACCAAUUACAAAAAGAGCUGGGACUUAAAAAUCAAGAUACAUUCUGGACCAGGUACUGUGUGAGCAGGUGCACCCAUGCUUAGCACACACAGCAAAAAUAAACUCUUUCACAUCAUUUGUUCUGAAUCUCUUGUGUCAGUGUUAGCUUUAAAAGUUUUGGUUUUAUUCACUUUGACAUUUUUGAAACUUCAGAUUCUCACUUAAUCCUAAAAGUGAGUGUGGAGGCUCUUUUUAGAUUGAAAAUUGAAUUUUAACUUUCCAACUUCAUAAGUUCCCCCAAGCGCUGUCAUAUUACUUAGGAUAAACCACAGACCAUACAUACUGUGAUCUGUUUCCAGAGUUUAUCCCACAUCAAAACAGUCUCAUCUUAAACAGCUGUUAGUGUUUUAUUGCCUUCAUAAUUUAGGGCGACUAAACAUUUUGCAAAAACUUUAUAGUCAUAUUAAAACAGAUCAACUCAGUGUCUAACUCAUAUAUGAUACCAUGCACACUGAAUAACCUUUUUUUUUUUUUUUAAAGCUUGAAGUUGUGGAGUCAUUUUGGCACAGCCUUUGAGAAAACUGAAUUUGCCCAGUGGGGAUUUCACAAUAAAGUUUUGAACUUGAAAUUGCUGGAACUGCAACAGCAGUCACAUUAUAAUGAAAUUGGACAGGCACUUUGUGUUACUGAGUAGCCGAGUGCAACAGUUCACAGAGCUAUCAGAACAUUUUGUUUUGGAAGUCAGACACCAACUUUGCCCCACAUGACACUUCCAUAUUCAAAGCUGCUCCUCUCAGUGGUAGCCACUGCCACUCUGCUCCAAACAAUCUGCUGAUAUUCUACCAGUGAAUGUGUUGUUGCAGGUGAUGUGGCUGAGUGUGUAACACAUGCCUCUCUAGAGACAACUCCGUCUUUGAUGUAGCUGCCAGACAGCUAGUUGGAUGACUGAUCAGCUGUUUCUGAAAUGGGGACGAGAGGCUAUCAGGGAUUUUAGCUCCACAGUCACAGGCAGAUGGUGUUGUGUACACAUGCACACACCUUCACACACACACACACACACACACACACACACACACACACACACACACAAACACUGGCAUAGACAUAAGUUUCAGGAGACUGCAAAACACACACAUGUACAUUUACAACACGUAGGAACAAGCACUCACACAUGCAAAGGCAGUAAGACAACUGCUAUACUAACCAACACACUAACAAGCAGAUCUAUAGACACACAACAUCUCUCUCACAAGGCAGCAGGUCCAGCAUGACUAAUUAAACACACAAACUCGCACACAAACAGAGACAGCACCCUCUUAGACAUUGUAAAUUACUGUGGCUAUAAUUGCAUUAGUGCCGUGAGUAAAUUGAAUGGCUGCACGCUUGCAGACUCUGCAGCAGGAUGGGGAUGCAGGUCCCUCACUGUUUACUCUGCUCUGCUGCUGGUUGCCCUCCCAGUCCCUGCCAUGUUGUCAGCUGCUCCGCUGUCACACACCAUUACCUGCAACUAGCUACCAUUCCACAGACACACCUGCAAGUGCUUACACACACACAUAAACUGCACAGGCAGGCAAAAACAGACUUUUUGUAGCUUGUAGUGGAAGUUUAUUGGACAUUUUCCUAACUGUGUCAAGAUGUAAUUCAACAGCACAUGUAUUAUUCACAGCCCUUUGCCAACUUGCCCAUUUUUUUUCUUCUGUAGCUACAUGCAGCUUAGCGCACAACACCUGGGAAUACUAAGCAGUCAGCCAUGCAGAUACAGUACAGAUGGAUAACACUAUAACACACAUGGCUGCUUGUCGUUAUGUCCAGAAACACACACACACGGACACACACUAGCAGCAGAGUGGUAGUAAGCUUAGCCAGGUGUAGGUGUUGUAAGCUUGAAGUCAGUAUCAGGAGUCACAUCACGUCAGGGGGAGCAUCUGGUCAGAAGCUAAAGGGCUUAGCCAGCUGGACUCCUGUGACCUGUUAAACAGCGGAUAAGCCCCUCACGACAAGUCACCUGGUAAUCCUUAUGCAUGUAACCGAUAAGAUUAAUAGAUCAGGAAACUUUCAAUUAAGCAGCAAAAUUCUUCAAAGUUGUGCUACAGUUUAAAGUUAUAAAGUAAGUAAAAAAGAGACACUCACUCCGGGUUAAUUCUGAUAGUCUGACAGUAAACAGUUCACAAGAAGUAGACUUAGCUUCAGGCUGAAGCAGCAGUGCCUCAAACUCCAAAUCUCUCUAAUGACUAACUGUGUGGCGGCACAACAGGCAGAUGGUUUUUCUCCAAAUUGGAGUUAGCUAGUGUUUCAAUGUUUUAAGUACUAGCAACAUUUUCCUGAUUUGACAUUUCAACACAGUCUGAGUUUUUUUUUUCUUUCAGAAAUGCAGGACACCACUCUGGCCAGCCUCAUGUUCAUAGCGUGUUGUUCUUCACUCUCUUCUCCCAGUCGUCUACCUCUGAAUGCAAGCAUUAAAAAAAAAUCUCACAAUAUGAUCGAACUUGGUGCAAUUAGCAUUUGUUAUGAACUGGAUGAAGAUUGGCUGAUUGAUGAAAUAUGAUUUUCUGGUGUGGUUGACUAGGAUUGAGGUGUGAAAUUGAUCCAAAUAUGAACACCUUUGGCUCUAGAAAACUAACCUUGAUACUUCUAAUACUUUGUCCUAUGUUGCACAGUAAGGUAACCAGAUUUCUGUAAUGAAAUCUGGGAACAUCCAGAGGGUGGGGGUGCUAAGCAAGAUGUGAUUCCAGGCCCUUUAUUUCUGGAGAGCAGGGGGGGUUCACAGACAACAUCUCUGUACUACUUAGCAGCAGCGCAGACCCCCCUUGUAUUAAUACUGUUGUUCAAGACUUUGCGCAACAUGCUUACUUGUGCUUUCUACCCACUCGGCUACCAUAAUAACCAUUGUUCUAAUCUACACACAACAUUUUUGUUCUCAUUCAGAAAACGCUUAAAUCGGCUACAUUUCCAGAGACAGCUUUAGCCAGGGAAGAGGUCAUCCAAAAUUGGGACUGUUGCACAGGGUUGUAACAAAGCAUCAUCAUGCCUUUGCACUUUUACAUUAUUCUCCUAACAGUGCAUUAUUUGUGUCCCAGUGCAUUUCAUAAUGCGUGAUGGCGCCUUACAUCAGUUAACCUGUUUCUGUCUCUCAGGGAUCUCAUGUGUACUCAGGCUCACUGAAAGAGACACAGCAGUUUGUCUUUAAGAGGAUAGGAGGGCAGAUGCUGCAGCAGCAUUUCAGAAUCUUCAUGGUUCUCAUGCUGAGUAGCAAGCCAAUGAUAGUGAGUGAACAUAGUGACAACGUUUAGCUCUCGUUUGCAAAGCAGUAGGUACCGUAAUAGACAUACUGUACGCAAACCAAAGUGCCUUUUUUCCUGCAGGGGUCCUGGGGGACAUCUCUGAUUGCCCCAAACAUGUUUUAUCGUCCCUGGUAUGUAGAGAUGCCAUCCGACUCGAGCCCCGCUGGCAUCAGUUGAAAACAUUACUGGAUCAGUUCAGUUCAAAUCUCAGCAGACAUGUUUUUGUGUCCGUGCCACCCAUCAGACAGGCGAGGGUAACAGUAUUGAUUUCAAAAUGUAGGAUGAUGAUUCAGACUAAUCAAACAAAAUGGGAUGAGAGCUGCGUUUCAUAAAAUAGAAGCCAUCUAAAGCUGUAGGGAAAAAAUCCAUACGGUAGGUGAGCUAAUGGGAGCAGACUGACAGCAAUCCACCAAUGUGCUGUCAUACUGAGCAGGAGUGAGGUCAUGAUACAAGAACUGUCCAAUCCCAUUUAGACGCGGGGUUCUGGGCUUCAGACAGUGUCAACGCACAUGAGCUGGAAAGAGAUCAAAGCAAGAAAGCAGCCACAAUUACCACCACAGCCUGAGCUGGCUUACUUCCCAAUGAUUAUGGUGCCAUCUGAUGCAGCUUGAGCACAAACGGUGGAAUAUAUUUGCUUUGGAUGGCAGAUGAUUCGGCUCAUGGCCAAAAAUUAUUGAUUGAAUCAGGCGGUCUUUUGGGGUGUGGCAGCUGGGGUAGUUUGCAUUGUUUUGCGUUUACUGCCACUUUUUACAUUUUUAGAAUUAAUGCUUGUUUUCUUGUUGUAAGAAUUGAACACAGAAUCGGGAUCAAAGACGUGAACUUUUGAGAAAGGCGUAGGUCUUCCAGGAGAUAAUGUUUUGGGGAGAUGAUCGCCACAUUUUGCUGAAAUCUUUUCUGUCUCCAUGGAGUCUCAUUUACAUUUUUCUUCAAGAUUGUCUCCUAUGGGAAGACGGAGUAAUUUAUGCCUCUUGUUACUGGGCUGUCUGCUCCAGUUUUGAACUAAAUAUGCUAUUGUGGUAUGACUUUCUUUCUACUGCCAUGCGCAAGUGUGUGUAAGUAUGUGUGUGUGUGUUUGUGAAGCAUCUAAAGGUGUCUUAAUGCCUGCGGCAAACUGGCACACUCAGCAGAUGGGGAAGAGACUGAUCCCUUGUUUGUUGACAGUGCACUUAGCCGCACAUGUAUGUGCAUGAAUGUGUGUGUGCAUGAAUGUGUGUGUGCACGAAUGUGUGUGUGCACGAAUGUGUGUGUGCAUGUGUGUGAGUGUUGCUUCAAAACCUCAGAUCAUAAAGCAGCUCCGGUGAGUUGUAAAUAAACCAUAAAAACAAGUUGCCCAAUUCAAAAACCAGUCAGAUCCUCUCACUUCUAUAUUUAAGUGUUUGUGCGUUUGUGUGUGAAAAAUUGAGUUUAAUACAGGGAUGAAUUAUUCACCUCCAUUGGCAGAAUUCAAUCUGCAGGAGUCAGAAAAAAAUAAAAGCAAAUCUGAUGUGCUGUAAAAAUAAAAACAGCCAAAGAAGCAGGCAGGUGAGUAAUUUUAGUCCAUUCAUAUUUAUGCUUUUAUCUGAUAGAAAGAAACAGUGAGUCAAACACAGAGGCGGAGAGACAAUGAUGGAGAAACAGCAAGAAAUGACGUCCAUCAUGAAUGUUUCAUAAAGCUCUCAGAACUGUGAAGGAUUCAUCCAGUCCAGAGGGAGGUCUCUGGCCUUCGUACCACUCCCUGCUCUUCAGUUCUUGGCUUCUAUUCUUUGCCACUCUCUCUCUCACACACACACACACACACACUCACACACACAUUCAGAGGGGUUAUAUAUGAGCGUAGAUAGAAUCAGCUGCUCUGUUAUCAUCAUCCGGCUUUUCAUUUACCAGUCCUAUUAGCCCCAUUACCCUCUCAGCCAGACCCUCUGCUUGCCCUUCUGCUCUCUUUUCAUGGUGAAAAACCGUGAUUACCUCUCUGAAAACUCCACUUCUCCAAAUGUAUUCAGCUGCUGGACUUUUUCUCAACUGGCUAACAUGCUCGCUUGCUAGUUGGCGGGCUAGCUAUUGCUUCCUGGUGGCAACGUGUCCUCAUGGGUCAUUUAAGGCGCCUAAAUGAUGGAUUCCACACUAGAUGCGGAGCUGGCAGAUGGCUUGGCCUCCACACACCCCUCGAUGUGAACACGAGGGGAGGCGGGACGUGAACUGACAGAGGGGCUCUGUCUUACUACGCACCAGAGCUCAGAGCAGCCAGCGAGCAGAGCAGAGCAGAGCGGAGCGGGGUCCAACACAUGCACAUUACAUACCCAUACACACAGAAGAGAGAUUAUGAAUAAUUAUGUUCAAAGAUCCCUCAUGGAGAUCAAAGCAAGCUGGCACCAAAUUGGUCACGUUCAUUAGAGUCCAUGUUUAAUGCAUGUGAGAUAUUUCCAAACUGUGCGGUGCAAUAUUCACCAAGAGCUACAUGUCGAGACUGGCAAAGUAGAUACAGAUAAUUAUAAAUAAAGCAUGAAAAAAGUGUGUGUCUGUGCUAAUCUGAAAUUACAUGAUGGGCACUGGAGUCAAGCACCAAAUGUGGACCUUAUUCUAGAGUCAAAAUCCAUCUUUUUAUGCCUUUUUGUCCUCUAAAGUUCCCUCUAUGCACCGCUGCACCAGUACACCGGCAUACAAGUCUGAGAGAGGUAUUACAGGAUUCUACUAAGACGAUAGUACUUGAGAAGCAAGCGACCACUUUACUGCCAAAGCAUGUUGGAUACAUAGAGGGAAAGACGAGUCUGGCAGCGUCACCUUAUAACAGCUUUUCUCCCUCAUUAGCUCAUAAUCAUGCAUUUAGAGAAAACUGUGGUAUUCUGUUGAGUAAAUGAAUCUUGUGGCGUGCAGAUUUAAUUGAAAAGACUCCUCAAUAUGAGACAAUAAAUGAUGCAAGUUUUGGCGGAUUGGUCAUAGACCGUCGGACGAUCCCACAGAUAAAGCUCGGGUUAGCUUAAGUUAAUGUUCUUAAACUUUUUUUCUGUGGUGGUUCUUUAAAUACAGACUGUGCGAUUAACUUUAAAGCCACUGUGAGGAUUUUUGGAUAAUAAUGUCCAUGAUCCUUGUGGACAAAGUACGCAGUUGCAGUCUCUUCUUUUCAAAACUGAAUGCAUCAAGUUUUGGGUCAUCAUUUUUUUAAAGUUUUCAUCCUCUUUCUCCGUCUUUUACUCAGAUUAUUAAUCUCAAGUCUUUAUCUGAACCGCUGUUGCCAUAAAAAUAUAGGUAUUGAGUGCAAAAAAAAAGGCUGGCAUUUAAUGCAAGCUCUGAAUCUUGUGAAGCUGAAAUUCUCAUCUGGCUUUAGAGUUGUUCAUUUUGAGGAGUGACACCUCAGUGCCUCCUCUGCUGCUUGGUACCAGGGGAGGAACAUUGUCUUACACCUUGUUGUAACACAAAGUUAUUGAGUUUGUGUUCGCUGAGGAAAGUCCAGAAAAGUUAUAUCAUAUAAAAAAAAGCAAUACAGGGAUAGAAACAGGCUGCAAUCUGUAAGACAUGAUAGAAGAGAGAAGUAAAUAAACUUAUGUUUAUGAAAUACGAUCAGGAUUGAUUUAUCUUUUUAUUACACAUCAUGUGCGUUCAACAUCUGCUGCGCUUGAUGUUUCCAUGCUGCACGAGUAAAUCAGCCCGAGGCAGGAGAUCAUCUCAUCAUGCUGUUUGUAAUAAGUGUCCAAACGUAGCUGUUGGAGAGGUUGGAGGUCAGAGUUUUAUAUGCACAAUGUCGGCCUUGGAGCAACAGGUUGCAUAUUGUACCUUUGAACAUUUUCUCCAUAGCUCCUGAAUAUUCUACCAUACUCCCCCCUGAUGAUAAGAUAUAGAGGAAUGAGAACUGAGGACAUGGAGAAAAAGACCUCUGGAAGUCAUGUGCAAACCAGUGUGGGAUAGGAAUAUGGAUCGUUUAAUCUUGUAUUGCAGAGUUACAAAGGCAAACAAACAGCCUGUUAAAUCUUUAAUGAACACAAGUAUAGUAGUGUUGCUAUCUGGCCGAGCUCGUAUUGUUCCUCUGAAAUGUCCUUUACAAACAUUUAAUUUAGCUGAACACCGCCUGUCCCUCUCAUGGCUGAAAAUCUAUCCUACACACCAAUAAAAAAGCCAAAUGCCUUUUAAAUGACAGGGGACGCUUUGAAGGGACAUAAUAGUCCCUCUUUAAUGUACAAACGGACAAGUCUGAUGGAAGCUGGAGAUCAAUAAUAAAUUAAAGACUGCUCCAGCCACUUCACACUAAAAUGACUCCCUGGGGGGGAUGCCAACAAAGUCUCUUUAUCUCUUCUAAGGAGCUCCCCUUUUGGUUUUAUCUUUCCUUACAGUGAGCUGUGUGCUACAGUGCAGGGACAUACUCUGCUGUAAAUGUUAUACAGUUUGUAGCUUUUUUUUCCCAAUUACUAUCUCAAAUAAAUGUGAUUGACACUUCUCCUGGCUGUAUUUAGUUACAGGAUUAGAAUAGUCAUUCAUACAGUAACACAGUCUGACAUUUUUUCCACCAAUACGACUCAUUUUUGAAUAUAUAAAAUACUCAGAAAUCAUACAGCUGAUCAAAAGAAAGCAUUAAAAGACUAUAUUUGUCUCAUCCUGUACAUGUGAAAUAGAGUUUUCUGGCAUUAACAUAUCAUCUUUCUGUCUUUUAGCAGUCAAAUGUUUCACUAACUUUGACUGUUUGAUGUGGAGAAGUAAAUAAAGGCUUUUCCUCCAGCUUUCUGUCAGUUGUCUGGUCUGACACCAACCCCCUCACAGCGGCUACAGGCAUUAGAAUCAUGAUAUAGACACUGUCACUCUUUUUGCUUUUAGUGCUGUUUGCUUUUGUAGGACAUCAGAGUUGAUUUCAGUCUGCAUAAUAACCCACUACAAACUCAACAUCAUGUUUUCAGCAGUACUUUUGGUGCUUUUCCACGGAGGCGCCUGCAUUAACAGAAUGUACCACUCUGUCAAAUUUAGUGUGGAGUGGAUGGUUCCCCUACAGCGCCGUUUAAGCCCUACAUCCACGUACAAAUACUGACUUUUUUCUCAUUUUGUCCAUAUUUCUGAAUAUUUUCUGGGAGCUCAAAGAUAUGGACCAAACGUUGCAGAACCACUGGAAACCAAAAUCACAAUAUUAAGCAGUGAAGUCAAGCAUUCACAAGCCAGACCAACAAAGCACAACAACAAAAAUACUCCUGAAGAUGUACAAGUUCCUAAGACACAGCUAGGUGGAGGUUGUACAGGAUAUAAGACAACAGAGAAGGAGGAGUGGAGGUCUGUGCUGGACUGGUUUGCACUUCAAAUGCUUUGUUUGACAUCCACCCCAGUGUAAGCUCAGAAAAGUGGUUGAAAGUAUUAAUAAAUGUGAAAAAAGUCAUAUAUAUAUAUAUAUAUAUAUUAGGAGCAGAGUUGUGCGCUCCUCCCAUGAGCGCCAGCGAGGCAGGAGGUAAGGCAAAAGUACAGAUUGUAAUAAAAGAGAGUUAUCAAAAUGAUGUGAAAAUUGCAGGAAGUUCAUUCUGUAACAAGAGGGAAUUAAAAAGAAAAAAGCUCAUUUUUAGGAGUGGAACAUUUUUAUUGAGAUGAGACGUAUUAAUCAGGCGUUGUGUCGUGAUUAAGCUCUUUUUCAGAUUAUUAGUGGAAUCAAAAGCUCCAUGUGAACUGAUAAAUGGCAUUAAAGAUGCUCUUUAAGUAAGUGUGAAACUGAAAGCUGAUAAAAUGAUUAUAUGUUUUUCUACUUCUCCCAUUUUUCUACUUGAUCGACUCAAAAUUCUCAGAAAGCUCUUUAUUGUGUGAUUAAAAGAUGAGUGGGGGGGUUGUGAUGAGGUUAAAAGAUUUCCUCUUCAUUCUGUCAAAACAACUCCUGACUGUCUGUGGUUUUGUAUGUGGCCUCUCUCUCUCUUUCCACCUACCUGUCUCCAAGACAUUGUAUUCAUAUUCCAACCAACAUGACAAGUUUACUCAAGAAUAACUCUCUUUUCCUCUUGAAUCUUAUUAUACAUGGUGACAUUUAUUCACAUACCUGGUGAGGGCCCAGUGGACGUGCUGGUUGUCUACCAGUCAGAGAGUCGGCAGCUCGAUCCUCAUCUUCUCCACGUCAAUAUCUCCUUGGGCAAGACAAUGAUACUUUAGUUUCCUUGAGGUUAAUGUAUCAAAAUUAAUCAAAAGUUUAAAUUAAUUUUAAAAUCAGCACAAAUGAACAUCAAGGUAGUAUAUGAUGGGGAAUCUGUAGUGACAGCAGCAAUUUUCAGGUUAGUUUGACUAUAUCCAAAACUGAAAAAAAAGUAGUCACUUACAACACAAGGUUUUAUGGUUCCUAAAAUCUGACCAAAAUACAAUUUAUUCUUACCCAAGCCAAUUGUAUUUGUGCCAAAACAUUACCAAAAUGUACCCAAAGUGAUUUUGCUCCCUAAAAUUAAGCAUUAGGGUGCAGGAACAGAAAAAAGGAGUACAAACAGGAGUCUUGAUUGAAGAUGUUGAAUGACCAUCAAUCAGCAACCUCUGGUCUUUAGAAAUGAAGCCAAUAUGGGAGCUAAAAACUGCAGUUCAUUGUGUAUCCAAUAAAAACACCUGUAGCUACAUACCAUCCUAAGAAGUCAGUCUUUACAGCAAAAAUAGACAAGUUUACAGCCUGGUUUUAAAAUCCUUUUUGUCUGCAUAGUUCUUUUUUUCUAUCUGCAUACACUAUACAGGUCAUACAGGCAUGACGCACAGCUGGCUUGACUGACAGGCAGGCACACUGUGACUACUAGUAAGGAGGCUGAAGAUUAGCCUCAACUCCACCUCUUAAUGUUUUAAGUCAACAGAAAGUUAGGCUGAGUCAGCAUUUUCCAUAUGACAGCCACCAUCGAUAGAUGACUUCAAAACUCUCAGAAACCAAAGGGCUAUGUCACUGAGACUACAGCCAUGCAGUGUAGGGUUUAUGAUCAAUGACAACACGGCCCUUUUGCUUGUGUGGCACUUACUCUCAGGUGACUUUGCUCCUGACUUUGGCAGCAGAUAAAUACAAGCUGAGGACAGUUUUUCCUACAGUGCAUCUCAAAACCUGUCAACAUCCACACUUCAUACUGACCACUGCCUUUGAUAUACCUCCAGCACCUCACAUGGAUCGAGAAUUCUGUUCUCUCAAAAAACUGUGGUCAGGACACUUAACCUAGACAGCAAUUAUGGUCUCAUUAAAGCUUGAUUAAGGCAGAGAUUUGGUGAACUGCUCACUUAAUUUCAGAGAGACAGGGGCGUCCCUGCUGACCAAUCUGCUCCAGUAUGUUUUUCUCUUCAUGCUUGUUUUCUGCUGUAGUAACUUGUGUUUAUUUUGUGGCCUCUGUGUAACUUUGCUGCUGGCCCUCUUCCAGGUGAAGUCUCUCCCUGAAGAUGAUAACAGGCUGGCAGGAUGAGGGGAAAGCUGCCAGGUGGCCAAACAUGCAGGGCUGAGCCCCUCUGAGUAGGGCUGAUACAGGGGGCUUGCUCUGGUAUUUGCCAAAUGUAUUACCAUGGUGUUCAGCAUGUGGUCAUGCCAACAGCUUAUUGUUCUGGUGGGUCAAACAGGCCAUCUCAGCCCUGUCAGGUCUCUGCCUGCUAAACAUGCCACAUCUACAUGAAGGGGGGAGAUAAGACGGAUGACAGGGGAGGUCAUUAAAACAGGAGCAACAUUUCUGCUCUCACUCCGCCUGAAUAUGAAUCAUGCAGCCAACUAAGAAAUGUGAAUGUGCAGACACUUCGAUUCUCAGGAGGAGCAGCCUUCGCCUGUUGCUUGACGUGUUGGCUCUCUUUUUUCUGGCAGGAACCAUUGAAAUGCAGACCAAGGGGUGUGGAUAAUGGACUGUCCCACAGUGGCACAGUGCUCCACACACUCUGCCAUUCCCUCAGACAGCCACUCCUGCUGUAGUCUGCACUACACAUCCCUUCUUUUCAACCCUGGGGAGCCACUGGCAGGUGGCCAACCAUCACUGAGUGUGUGAGGGACUGGAUUUGUGCAUGUGCGUGUUAGCAAGGGUAUUUUUUUUGUGUGGGAAUGUAGGAAGCGCUCCUUCGCCAAGAGCCAUGCUUAUUAAUGCCCUACAGACUAAGUGCUCUCCCUUUCCUCUCGUUUUGCUCUUUCAUCCACUCCUCUCCUUCUCUUCACAUCUCUCCAGUGUUCUGAGUGGUCAUUGCUGAGAGAGAGGGAGGAGGAAGAGUUGCUGAAAGAGGAGGAGGAGGAGGACUUGGGGUGAGGUGCUGGAGGGAAGUACAGAAACAAAGCUGAAUAUGAGAGGAAGUACACUCGCCGGCUUUGACAAUCCCGAGAUCUCCUGCUGCCUCCCAGCUGCCUCCUCUGUUUGAUGCUGAGAGCGAUCAAUAAGGCCGACUCAGAGCUACGCCUCAGAUUGUCUCACACCAGUCAUGCUAACCACAUUAAUAAUCCACCAACUUUCAGCAUAUUCAACAAUAAAAGGACACAGGGCCUCUGCCAAGCACACCUGGUUACCUCGAUUCAAAGGCCAGUUUUCCAAGUGUAACGUGAAUGAGUCAUAAACCCUCACAAAAUCUCUUCGUUCUUUCUUUGUAGGAUUUAGCUGAAGAUCCCCACUGUUUUUGCUCAUGGCCAUAAUGUUAUUGAAAGCACUGCAACAAGCACACAUGCACUUAAGUUUCCCAUAAUCUUAUGAUAAUACAGUGCCUCGCAUAAGCAUUGUAACAGUGUGGGUCCACCGCACGCAGCACAGUGCCACGAAAGAAAAAUCUGCCCCCGUUCAUUGUGUGUUGCAACAGUCUGCUUCAUCGCACAAAGCUUUCUGGGACACCUGGCAGCGCAGAUUUGGCUGGCAGCGCCAUUUUUUAACAGCUUUUCUCUCUCAUUAUGUCAAAAUCAUGCAUAAAAAAAAACGUGGCACACUGUAAAGUAAAUAGACCUUCCAGGGGGGCUGGUUUGAUUGAAAAGACUCCUCUGUUUAAGAUAACAAGUGAAGCAGCCGAGGUGGGCAGCUCAUCUUUGGUAGAACUGGAGGCUUGUCUGUAGGUUAGCAGAAGAUGGCAAAAAAACCCAGACUUUUAGCUUUCAGACCUUGACACAAACACUGUGUGAGGUUAGGGUGAUUUGGACAUGGUAACCAUUGACCAUUGGCCGGGCUUUGAGCCGGAGAUUGAAGACCAUGGAUGUGUUGCUAGGAAACCGUACAUCCCCGUAGCUUCUUGCCUACAUGUUUCGCGGACUGUUUUGAUACCUAGUAGGUCAACCAGGUGACGACCCAGUGGUAACAAGCUGAAAGGACCAUGUCGCGACCUGCUGCAGGGGAGGUAGACAUGCUUCAAUACUUGCGCGGUGCAUGUAAAGAGGGGCCAGGACAGAGGUCCACUUAAUCAAGCUGUGACCGCAGCUCUACCUGAUUGUGCAUGUAAACCAUAGACCGUAUAUAGAAUGGACGCCACCUGCCUCCUCGCUGGGUGAAGCCGACCCGAGAACAGCACCCUCUGUUGAUGGGCUGCAGUAUAGGUCAUAAAUCGCACUAGGGCUGAAACGAUUACUCGAGUAACUCGAGUAACUCGAUUAAUAAAAUUCCUCGAGGCAAAUUAUGUGCCUCGAGGAAUCGUUUAAAUCCGGAACCAUGUGCAGCGCACGGUGUUUGACACGGACGGUUAUUUCUGUUGCGCAGCAGCGUGCUCUUUCCGCUCCUUCCGCUGCCGCGCGUUUCAUAGACAUAAUAAAAGGGUAGACCCCGCUGGGGGUGCUGCGCAGCGAGAAAUGCGGCCGCCAUCUUGGUCAGGUCAAGUUUCCCAUACGCUCCGGUCAAUCAUAUUCAUUCAUUCAGCGAUGCCGGAGCACUGUGCGGCGUAUUCCUGUGCCAACAGGCGGACAGCAGAGAACAGGGCUCAAGGAAUAACUUUUCACAGUUAUGAUUAAACCUUUUUUAAACAGUACACUUGACUGUAGAGUCAUUUGUAGGCCAAAGAGGAAGACUAUCGGUCAACUCCAAAAAGGAAACGGCAUUUGCGAACAGCUAGCUUAUUCACAAUAAUAGCAACUUUGGUCGAUUAUCAACAGAUUUGCAUUAGAUUGAAAAACUUUUGUUUGAGAGAGGUUCUAAGAAACGUUAAGAAAUAAAAUAGAAAGAAAAAGGAAGAAAGUGAGCUCUGUUUUAUUAUCUGUUUUAUUAAAGACUUCUUUGUGGUGAUCUCCUGUUUCAUUUUGAAGAUUUCCUAAGGACAAAAACUUGAGGAAGAAGUGGGAGAUUGCUGUUAGAGGGAGAAAUUCGCAGCAAGUGAUUCAUCUGUGCUGUGUAGCCAACAAGCAAAUUGAUAUGUAGUUUAGAUGCUGUCCUGUCAUGCUGUUCUUGUGUUUAAAUCUUUUUGAUAUGUAGGCUAUAUAUUUGUGUGUAUUUUCCAGUUAUUAAAAUAGUGCUUCUAUAUGACAUUAUUUGUGUGUGUCUACAAAUGGAUAAAUAAAAUUAAACUAUAUAAAAACUUAUAAUCAAAUCAAUAUAUAUUGAAUUGGCCUAUUAAUACCGCCAGUUAUUAAUAAUUAUUGAGACAUAGCAGGAACCUAGCUCUAAACCUAAAUAUAUCCUUGAUUAAUUGUUAUACUAUAAUACAGCCACUGCUGCCAUGUUCUAAAAUAUCAUUUUAUUCAUUCUGAGUAUUUGAAAACGCCCAAAAAAAAUAUGGCCUCUAUCAUGCCUCUUUGAAUGGCGUUUGCAGAGAAGAAAAUUACGUAGUAUUGAGCGAACUAUGAUUCAUUAAUGCGCUCAGACUUCAUUCCGCCGGUUAAACAGCGGUGCAGAGUGAGGCGGAUGACCGGACCAAGAUGGCGGCCGCAUUUCUCGACAGCGCCCAUUCGUGGUAGCGGCCGAUGCGGGGUCUAUCUUUUAUUAUGUCUAUGGCGCGUUUGGUUCAAUCAUGGAGGGAAACGAGGACAGACAGAGAGAGGAAGAAAGAGAUGACACGCAGAGGAAACGGCAGAAAGUGUCUAAAGUGUGGGACCAUUACACACUGAAAAGGAAAGAAAACGCCGUGCAGUGCGUUCACUGUAAGGCGGAGUUGGCGUUUCACAACAGCACGUCGUCAAUGCUGCAGCACCUUAAAAGAAAACACCCGGUCCAUGCAUUAAGUCCGCUCUGAGGCAAACGUGAUUCAAUGCAAAGUAUUACAGUGAGAGCAAAACAUUUCUUAUCCGAUUACUCGAUUAAUCGACAGAUUAAUCGAUAGAGUACUCGAUUACUAAAAUAAUCGAUAGCUGCAGCCCUAAAUCGCACCUCCGCCAGCCAUCCCCACGGAGCUGUGGACAAACUUUAGAAAUGAAAUGUAUUACACAGAAUAUAAAAUUUUCUCCCCCCUGGUUGUGAUGUUGACAUGUAGUUACUGUCAGACUGGUUUGUGCUCAAGUCCUCUUUUUUUCUGUACAGCUCCGUUUUAAGAAGUUAUUAGGGGGUUCACGUUUUCUAUGAUUGACACCUGAUACAGCCUAUGGGCGUACGAAGAUUGUGUAGCUCACCCAGGGGAUACGCUGUUUGAGCAGAGCAUCAUCACGGCGACUCUCCCGCCGAAUGCGUACAAUGCUACUACGCAAUGCUGGUUUCAGGAAAUGGAGAAAAAUCAUGGAAAUACUGAGAGCUUUUCGGCUUCAAAUCAGUAUACUGGUGGAAGGCAGAACCAAGUUGUCCAUAGUAUAUACAGUCUAUGAUGUAAACACACUGAGUGAAGUCUCCUAUUGGUUUCUGAAGUGGAGUUUUGAAGCCUGUCAAUGGCUGUGGCCAUAUUGGAAAUGCUGACUCAACCUAAUUUACAGUCGACCUUGGAGGUUGCAAAGAGGUUGAGCUGAGGUCAGCUUUUAGUCUCCUUGUUAACUGCUGCAUUGUGUCGUCUGUUAGUCAAGUCAGCUUUGACUUUACUUACGCAAAACUCUCAACGUAAAACCUUAAAACUGAUGAUCUGUUAAAGAUAAAUCUGCCCACUACUGUGUGUUUAGAAAGAGAAAUAAAACCAAAGUGCUUUCUUGAACCAGACAGUGAAUGUGUUUUGGGUGCUUUGUAGAAUGGAUGUAAAGUAUAUGUUGCUCUUUUUUAGCCGCCUCAAGUGAACCCUCAACGAACUACAGGUUUUAGUGCUUUCAUAUUGCAUUUCUCCAGACCGGAGGUUACCACGGAGUGUGAACACAGCAGGUAGGCUAAUGCUCUGGCACUUUGACUGGGAUGACAUCAUGUCUGAGUUUCACUGCGCUGUCCUCUCUGCUUCCCUCUUCGUUGUUUCCACUGUUGUGUUUAAGUUGCAGAUAUGUCCCCUUACAUGCUGUGGUGAUAUCAGCCCAGACCCCCUCACUAUUUCCCAUUUCUGCACAUUGCACUCAUGUGCCCCCUCUAACCUAAACCAGUAGACAUGAAAAUGUCAGGACCUCUGGAAAUAGUCUGAAAACAGCCUGGAGUCCCCUCCAUAAAAGAGUGGAGGGGGGGUUUCUGCUUUUUGAAGUGCUUUAGUUCAGUAAUCCAAAGGUAAAAUGCUCAAAUAACUCUUUGUGACUCCUGGGUUGUAACACUGUAAAAUCUGUUGAAGGCAAAAAGUGCUGUAUACAAAUAUAAGGCAGGCAGGGUAUGGAGCAAUAGCAAUAGAGGUUGUUCUUGUGCUUGGGUCUAAUGUUAUUCUAACAGUUCAGCUUACACCAGCUGAGAGUGUCAUUACUCUAUAUGAGUGUGUUCUCCGAGUGUGUGUUAAGGUGGCUGUGUAAUGAGACACCUGGGGCGAGGCAUAAAGAGGCCCAUAGCUGCUGUCGGAGAGACGGAGGGCAGUGAGAGCAGAGCUGCUUUAAGCAUAUUUAAGGGCACCAUAAAGUGAGCUGGGCCUCUUCCAUCUACUUGAUAUAUAGCAACAGCUCAGUCUUGUUGUUGUUUCCUCUGGCUGGACUUCCAUCCUUUUACCCAUCUAGUUUUCCUCCUCAUCCAUCCAAGAUUACCUCGCUCUCUUCCUCUCUGUGCUGCCCUCCCUCCAGCGGGCGUGAAUGGCAUUGUGCCACCUUGCCCCCUAUGAGCUCUUGUCUGAUUAAGAAGACAAGGUUUUUGUGGCUAUGGCAUCUGGCCGGGUCAGCCCACAUAUGAGAAACAAUGGCGUAUACAUUCUUUGGGGCAGAGCAAACACAGAGAGACGCUCCUACUGGACCUUCCUGAAAGAAGCACAUGAAUGCAAACAGAGCCGGCACUGCAGAGUGGACCCCCUGAAUGAGAGGUCCUGUUUGAUUUAAUCCCAGCAAUGCGCCCUGAACCUCACGCACACACAGAUUUCACAGGCAUUACGCAAGGCUGCUGUUUGCACUGAGGCUAUAACACGAUGGAGAGAGGUAACCCACUGAGGAUGCCAAAGGUUUGGAUUUUCCCAUGAUAGCAACCCCUCUCACUGGAUAGAGGGUGAGUAACCAGGAAGGAAUCUGUCCCCUUUUCAAUGGCCGCUGAAAAGAGAGCUGUGAAAUUGUCCGAAAUUUUCUCUGUGUGUAAACAGAGGAGCGCGGGGGGAACCCGCGGACCCUGCCUGGGCUAGACUCAACUGCUUCCCUGGACUCUUUCUCUUCCUCUCUUUCACUCAGUCUGUCUUUGCCCCUCCUCUCUUUUUCACUGCCGGCUCCUGUCUCAAAUUAAUUUUCUUUCUGUCUGUCCCCCUUCCCCACUGUGAACAAGUCCCACACUGCGAGGACACGGGAGCAUUUUUGCACGCUUCUCUCAGAUGGCAUUAAUUAGUUUUGAGCUCUUUUUAUUUGGAGACAGAUGCUAAAUACUGUUUUUACCUCCAAAAGCAGAUUCCUGCCUUUUGAAUGGAGACCAAGAGUGAAGAGACACCUGUCUGAAUGUAUCUUUUCUUCUAACUAACCUCUCCUGACAUAAAAUGUUAAUAAGAGUCGGCCUGUCGCCCCGGUAGAACAAUUCGAAUCAUCUUCUUCUUUUACUGAGCGUGACCACAUGCAGGAAUUUCCCCUAAACUUUUUCGCUGGUUGCUAGGUGACGGCUUCAGCUCCUGCGAGCAUGCUGUGUGAAUGGGGAGGGGGUAACUAAUGUCUUCACCCAAUGACCACGCUCUCAACAGACUGCUCUUGUCCAGUUCAAAACAACAUUAUGCUUCUUCCUCAAUACAAUCAAACACAGUGCAGUGGGCAGGCUGAAAAGCACUAAUACUCAACAUGUGUUGUCUGAUGGUUUCCAAAACGAGAAACUCUGACAGUCCAACGGCCCUCAGACAUGGACGAGUCUCAUCAGAGUGCAAGACAACUACAAAAAUAUCACCUAUUUUUGUUUUUGUGCAACAGAUAUCUUGGUAUUUAAAGUGAUGAAUCUCUUUCUUUUGCACUCCUGAUUCAGCAGCUGACAAAAAGGUUAUAAUUAAAACUGGAUUUUUGCUUCAGAAUCAAACUGCCUUUCCAAUAAAUGGCUGGUUGCUUCCUCAUCUCGGUCUGUUCAGCAUCGACUCUGAACUCAGUGAGUGAAUCAUGGAGCUCUGAGGUUCAUCGCUGACUCUAAAGCCCUCACUCAUCGCUCUUGGCUUUAGGAACAUGUUGGCUGGUCGUCCUCAUCUGCAUGCUAAUGCCGAGGUCAGACUUUCCGAUCUUUCUGUCUGUCACUACAUGUGUCAGAUUAGUCUGUCACAGGACCAUAAGAUCGUGCUGUGACUUGACCAGCACACACGAUGCGACACUUAACUGAUCAAUGUAAUGCUGUUGGAGGGAAGAAGGGCUGGGCCACACAACACCCAGACAUGCAAACUGCAGUUACUCACCAGGUUGUUGAAGUUCGUCAGCUACUUGUCACCAACAUUUAUCUUUUUUUCAGUGUCGCCCAUCGAUGACACAUCACAAAGGCAGGGCAAGUUGAGCCUUGACCCAGGGCUUGACGAGCUUUCCUCUGUCUCAUAGUUCAAUCUUGCUGUGCCAGCUUCAUCGUCCUCUUUUUGCUGUGCUGUUUUGUUUGGUUACGGUUGAGACGCCUACAUAUGGUCAGAUUGGGUUAAAAUCAUACUUAAAGGGAUAUUUCAGCAUAAAAUUAAGUUAGGAGAUGAAUGUUGCCGACCGCUUGCUUCUCUAGUUAAACUAACUUUAGUAACGACCACAGAUAGCAAUACAGAGAGCCACGCGCUCGACCAAAAAGCCACUCUAAAGCCACAAAUAAUGCUCAGAACAGCACCUAACUUCAUCAACAGUACAUAUAGGGUCCUAGCCACAGCACUAGCCACCAAACAUCUCUUUAACUUUGCCUAAUUUCUUUAGCAAAGAGACUAAACACAACUCACCCACUCUCUUCCAUCGGCAGCUUGUUUGUACGGAGACCUCCGGGCGAGUCCAUCAACUGCAGUGGGGUGACGCAGCUCAAGGAAGAACAUUUACAGUGCGUUUGACCCUAACUUAAUUUUACGCCGGAAUAUCCCUUUAACAUAGUUCAACCUGGGCUUGUAACACAGGCAUAGAAUUAUUACUGUCUUUCUAAGGGUAUUUCACAUCUAAAAGACCACUGUUCGGUUUGGUCCAGGUUGAAACCACCUCUCAAGACUAGUGGAUUUAGUUCGUAAAAAUUAAAUGCCAUAGUGUGUGCAGACAGAAAACGAUGUCUUCCUUCCGCAUCGCAAUGUGCAAAAACAGUGAUGCUCAUGGGAAAUGCGGUCUUGAUCUUGAAAUAAACACCCCUGAUUCAUCCAAAGGGUCUCAAAAAUCAACAUGGCAUUAGAGACCCUCACAGUUUGGACUGUUAACAUCAACUUAAAGAUGUUUGUUUUCUCAGAUCAUGAGGUCAAAGAGGAAAAACUAUAGGUGUUUUCAAACUUUAUGAUCAAAAGACAGACAGUGAAGAAUAGGUGGUGUAUUUUUUCUGACAGGAUAAGAUCUGUAGACAUAACCGAAAAAAACACAAACAACCUGUGAAAGGAACUCUUGGGUGCAUAAAAAUUGUGUUUCAGCAAGAGGGAAAAAAAAUAACCUCCAGUAAAGCGUGGUAUGUGUGCGCAUUCAAGCAAUUUCUGUAAAAACUCCUCAUCUUUAUUCCUAACAGAGCCAAUGUUUUGCCCAUUUGCUUUAAAACGUACAUUCGUGUCAAAUGAAUGACACUAUUAUCAAUCUUCCUGCCAAUGUCACAGCCAAUGGCAAACCACCUUCUGCCUCUUUUUAACUCUACUAUUUACAAUCAGAGGAAAAACAAGUGCUGAAUUACAACUCUGCUCAUAAUUUUGGUAAGGAGGCCCGUUGUUCGGUCUGCCCUCUUUAAAUGCAUUUAAUUCAUCUUAACGGAAUAAAUAUGGCAGGGCGUACGAGAAAUGACUCAAGAAUUAGGGCCGUGCUCCACCGCUAAAUCAUAUUUUAGUGCACUUACAAUACCUCUAAAAGCUUGCUGAUUUGUCCUCGCAGCGAGAGCGAUGGCUCGUGGGACUGAGAGGUAGAAAAAAACAGCUUGAGACUGCUCGUUACAAACCUUUAAACCAACCUAAAAAGCCAGAUGCUCACGCUAAAAUGCGCCUUCAAAGUGCUUCUGCCAUCAUUUUUUUGUUCCAAAUGCUCAGGAGGCUGAGUCUCAGAAAUGUAAUACCCAUAUUCUCACGUCAAAUGUGCCUUCAGGAAGUGAAGGCAGAGAGUGUAUUUCAGACUCUGACUGCUGGAUGGACAGCUUUUUCUUCUUGAUUAAUACCAUCCGUGGUUAAAUCAAAAUCGAAAAAGGAAUUCUUGACAUCUCUCUGUUUCAGGACACGCGGCUUAAGAGACUUUUAACUGAUGAGGCAAACAAAAUCACCCCCGGGAAUUCUCGUUUUUCAAACACAGAAGACGAAUGUGUCUUGGUUUGAGGCAUCCAGGUCUGUUUUUUUUUUCCAUAAACAGCAAUUUGUCUGGGCUGUGUGCCAGUAAUCUUUAAUACUAAUGGCUUAACUCAGCUGAGGGUGUGGUAUGCAAAUUUUCAAGAUGUUCCUGUGGCACACAUUGGAUUUUAACCACAUUUUCAUGGUUGCAGCUGAAAUAGUGAGCAGUGUUUUCAGUCAGUAAUUAAUAAUUAACCUUUUAUUAGCUCACUGGGUUAAAACUACUACGCUGUCCAAUUCCCUUUAGAUUUAACAGCUGAGUUUCGACUGAGUCUUUGGGGAAAAAAGUCAAUAUUGAAGGUCUUUCUGGAAGGAGUUUGCACAUUAAAAGGUCAGUUAUAUCCAAAGCCAUGACAGAUAUUUGACAAAGGUUUCCAGAAUCAUCUCAAUAAUACAUCCAUCAUCUACAUCACUUGGACAUGGAGGUUUCUCUGGGCCUCGGAGGGCUGAUUUGUGUGGGAGGCUUGGCAGGUCAAAGGUCAACCACAGGCUUUAGACAUUUACAUCUUACUCUGCCUUCUGAAAUCUUGCAGCUUUUGGGUUUGAUUUAGUUUUAUUUGGUCAGUUCCUUGUCUGGCGCAGUGCCUCUAAACCACUAGUUUUAAAAGUGACACCAACACCAACACCAAGUUUAUAAUCACACUCCGAGGGAGCAUUAUUACAGCGUCAUUCGGUUCAGAAUAAAACAAAAAUACAAAGCUGGCACAACAUCAGAGCUCCUUUAUGGGGUUUAUUGAACUAUAUGAUAACAGUUGAGUCCCAAUUCAGGGGCUUCAUCCCUCAAAGGGUGCAUUAAAAGACUGAUUAUUUCUCAGCAGUGCAGCAAUGGUUGUCCUAAUUCAAAGGCUUCUUCAAAUGUGUCUGAAUUUUCUCUGGCCAUAAAGGAUGCAUCAGGCUCUUCGGGUGCAUCCUUUAUGGGCCAACUUAUCCUGUACAAGAUGGCAGGCUCUCACUACCUGAGAAAUACAGUAUUAAGAGGAAGUCUUUAGUCAUAUUCAGUCUGGCAACUAGCAAUACAAACAUUAAAAACAAAAGGAGCAAUGAAACUUGAAGUGAUCUUUAAAAUUAAGAAGCUAGAUUAUGUGGCUUUACUGAUGAUAGCUGGUUCCAGUACGGAUUUAGAUUUCUAGAAGAACAAAGUGACACUUGGCAACCAAAGUAUGAUGGUAGAAAUGGCUGGUAAACUUUACAGGAAACCUUCUGUAGACCAGACUGUCUCAUUUCUUGUUUUGCAGACCAACAGUCGAGACACAGCUUCAAAGUCCCAUUUAGAGGCCACUAAACCUAUUAACACUAAUGAGCAUGAACAAGUUAAACUUAGAUAUCAAGAUUAUGGAGGAAUAAAUGCACAGAUUAUAACAAAUGUGAAAGCAGAUGGAGAAAUUAAAAGUGUUUAGAUUUUAAUAUAUCCCUCACAGAUAAAAAUAAACUGUAUUGAAAUCAUUUAUUUGCUCUUUGAGUUUUAUAACCCUGUUAUUGUGGGUUAAAAUAAGUCAGAUCUAACAAAAAAAAAAUACUUGAACUGGCAACUUCUUUAACAUCCUUAACUUUUUUUGUUACAGAGGAUUUUGUCAUUUUCUUUUAAUCUGUCUAAAGAAAUUCGGAAAACUCAUUCCUGCUGGGUGGAGGGAGCUGGAUAGGGCUUAACUAUUCAUCAAGUGAGUGUUGUUAAAUGCCACUUCAUAUUCAAACUAUAAGCCCUUUUUUAUUUCGUCUAAAAAAGAUUUAAAAUCCCAAGGGAUCUGUGGGUGUUUGAGAAGCAGACGGUUUAAUGAAAACUUGGUCAUUUUAUGAAUUUUAACAACAUGCUUCUUUUUGUCCUCCACAGUGUAAGCUGAUGUCGAUAUUGUAUUUCCAACCACAUGUGAACUCAUGAUGUUUUCUUUAAAUGUCUUUGUCAGAAGUGCUAACAGGGUUCAUCAGUAUCAUGCAAACUUCUGAUUAGCUUGUUUCAUGCUCUGAUCACUCUACAUUUCCUCGCUGAAACUCGUCCUCUGAGGGCCCAUAUGGUGGCCACAUCCAGCUGACUUUAAUCCAGACUCCUCCUCUAACUUCUGAUAUGCUUAUUUUUCCUUCUCUUAUCUCAAGAGUUGCUCUCUAUAACAACAUUUUUUAAAGCAGGCAUUAAGAGGCUUAGCAGCGGCAGUGCUUUAGCAGCCAAAAGGUCACUUUUGCAAAUUGGGUUCAUUAAUCUUCUAGUGUAUGGCAGCCCCAAUGGGACACUCUUCAUACAUAUACGCAGAUUAAAAUGAGGGGGAAAGCGCCAAAGAUUAGCCCAAAAAAAAAGAAACUCUUGGAAUGAUAAAGAAUCUUCAGACGAAGUUGAGACUAUGCUCUCUAAAGUCAGAUUGCCAGUUUCACUCAUAUCAGAGGGGGAGAGAGAGCGCUGCUCAGUGAGAGAGGGGGGAUAUAUGAGCCUGGAGAGGAGUUUGACUGAGCUGUGAUUAUACCAUCAUAGAUGAUUAUAGUUAGGCAUUCCUCUGACCCACUGCCUGACAGAAUCCCUCACUUUUCCCUCCCCCCUUUCUCUCUUUUUCUCUUUCUAGAUCUCUGGGUGUGUGCCAGCUCCCCCACAGCACUCCAACACCUGCUCAAGCAACAAGAAGUGCUAUGAGCCCCUAGAUGCUGCUGCUGCUGCUGCUGCAUGCAGGUAAGGCUGUUUUCUAACAGAGCUAUGGGCUGCAGAGACAGUGCAAGACCUGUGUGUGAUACCUCAGGUACCAGCACACCACCAAAAGAGCAAGAAUAAAUAAUAAUUUACACGAGAG